rnacentral:lncRNA from 1 species
UGUAUAUGUAUAUUGAAAGUGUUCAUUUAGAGCAGUUAAAUUUCUAUUAUGAAUCUCUCUUGGACUCAUUAUCAAUUCCACUUCAAAUAAAAAUAUUAUAUAAGAGCCCGAAUCUUUACUGUACAGGAUGAUCGAUUUGCAUAUAGAUUUCUCAAUAAACUUAUCAAUUAACACAACUGCAAGACGUUUAUCCAUAAAUAGUGCACAACCAUAGCAAACAGAAAGAGGGAAUUGAAUGCAAACAAGAACCCUGGAAAUCUCUAAAAAAAGAAUAGAGUUACUGGAAGUUAACCGGGGUUUAGACAAAAAAGAAAUAAAUUUUGGUAGAGAAAUGAUGUGUCAAUUUUUAGAAUCAUUAGAUUAAAUAAAGAGCACAGAUUUUAUAAAAUUUAACUAAUUUCACACACUCCUCACUUUAGAAGAGUCGGAUCCUAUCAAAUCGGGUACAUGUAAUACAAAAGCAUGAUGAAAGACAUACAUUAAAUAGACAACGAUCCUGAUUCACAAGUAGGAACCAUCUGUAAACAAACACGAACACAAAUAGCAAUAAUCUGAAAGAUUGCAGGCAACAAAAUCGACUGUAUAUUCAUCUGGUUUACUAUUCUGGGUACGUAACAAGAACAAGUAUUUGUCAUUUAUGGGGUAUAUAUGUUUCUCAACAACCAAGCAUAAAACCCUGGAAAAUGAAUGAUGAUAUAAAACGAAGGAACGUGGAGCUAUUUACAAGUAGUUUUCAGUAGUAGAUUAGAGGAGAGCCCCAAGCUAGAAGGACCACAAGUGAAGUACGUACCCAGCUAUUUCCGGGUCGGAUGACUUGGAUCCUCCCUACAUCUUUGUCUCACUAGCUUAGUUAUGGCUUACUGGUUCAUACAAAUGGUGGUUAGGUACUGUGCUAACUACCACUGCCAGUGCGACAAUCUUGUAUUAUAUCAUCUCUAUGUAAGCAUGACAGGUAUCCUAUUAUAUACAAGUCCAAACUGCAUUAUGCAAUUUCUGGUUACAUGUAUAACCAUGUUGAUCUUAUUGUCUCUCCACGGCUGCUGCAAUCUAUUAUUGCAGUUACAUAUUCAUGAGGCCUAUACGAUGAAUUUCACACGUUUGAUUUGUUUGCUUCGUUGUAUGUUGCUUAAUUAGCUAGUUUGAUUAAGCACUGUGGAUAUUGGAAUAAGCAUCAUUCAAGAAAAUAGUAAGAACAUAUGAGAUCCAGUACUUAAUCCAAUAAUAGAAUAGAGUGUGAGCAAUUACAUACCUUUAUAACCUCUUAUAUUGGCUUCUGAGUACCACCGCCGGCUAAGGUGGUCAUGAUACGGUGGAAAGGAUGGUAACCUAGCUUCAAAGCCACCUUCUACAUGCACCUUGGGGUAUGUGACACUUAUUGACACCACCCAAAGAAUGAAGACUCACCAAUAAGAGUGUAUAUAUAUUACGGACAUAACCGAAGUGAAUCUUUUAGAUUUGUGCACUGAUUUUAAUCUUUUUAGACGCACUUUGAAUACAAUUGUCACUACAUAAUUCCAUACUUAAAUUUUUGUUUAUACAACAAUGCAAAUACUCAGUGUAGUUUAGUCAUUUAAAUUCCAUAACCAUUCACAUAUCAUCGUCAUUGAAGAUUUCACGUAAUUGGCGAUGAAAGUUAGCGUAGAAAAUGUGAAGUCCCAAAAGAAAAAGGAACAAAAGUACAUAAUUCCACACUUAAAUUUUUGUUUACACGAUAAUGCAAAUACUCAGUGUAAUUUUAGUCAUUCAAAAUCCAUAACUAUUCACAUACGUGUAGAUAUACAUCGUCAUUGAAGAUCGAAGAGGAGCGUAGAAAAGGUAGUCCCAAAAGAAAAAGGAGCAAAAGUAUAAGCCCACAGACCACAUAGGCCUGAAAGUGUCAGUGUUGGGCCUCGCUCCCGUAAGAGAAUCGCGGGCUUAAACCAAGAAAAGCAAAAGCGUGCGAAAAAUAACGAUGAGGUGGGCCCCAGCCAGCGAGCGAGCGAGUAGAGGAGAAAGGAGGGUGGUCGUCUCCUUCGUCUGCGAUUCCAUUCCUUAACCACUACACAAAAACACCGCGUCAGAUACCAAUCAUCACAACACCUUAAAUCCUCCUCUCCCUUCGAUUCAAUCACAGCAGUCAGGUACUACCCGACCCGAUCCGAUCACAUAGUUUCAUUCGGACCUUCCGAUCCACCGCCAUGAGCUUCAUCUUCGGCAAGCGCAAAACUCCCGCAGGUUCGCAAUUUUGUUAUAGCUUUUCAAUUCGUUGAAUUCACAUGAUUUCUGAAGCUAUUCAUGGAAUUAUUGCACAAUAUCAAAUAUUUAAUUCCUUUAGUUAAAUAUUUCAUGAUUUCUUUGGUUUAUAAUUUGCUGUAUCGAAAUACGAAGUUGAUAGUUUGAGUUUUGUGGCUCGCAAAUAUGUUGUUCAGGCAGAUAGUACUGUUUUUUUGUUAAGGUUAGGGUUUUCGGAGCUGAAAUUGUAAUAUAUGCAUUCGUGUGACUUUUGUGAUUUCAGAACUGUUGCGGGAGAACAAGAGAAUGCUGGAUAAAUCUAUUAGGGAAAUAGAGAGGGAGAGAGGAUCGCUUCAGGCGCAAGAGAAGAAACUGAUUGCGGAGAUUAAAAAGAGUGCUAAGCAAGGCCAGAUGGUAUGUUCUUCUCUUUUCUAUUGAUUUUCGCUUUGCUUUCUGGCAAUGGGAGUUUUAGUGUCUUGUGGCUGAACUACUUUUGACCGCUUGGUGUUGCCUAAUUGUCUCUGUCAGAGAGUUUUACGGCUCAACAUGUUAGCUUGAUGGUCAAGUUUCUCAACUGGUUUUUCAUUUGUUGAAUUUUGUUUCAGGGAGCUGUCAGAGUUAUGGCAAAAGACCUGGUUCGAACACGGCACCAGAUUGAAAAGUUUUAUAAGCUUAAGUCACAACUGCAGGGUGUAUCUCUCAGAAUCCAGGUAUGUGUCCUACAUUCCGUAAUGCAUGCCUUGAAUGUAUCUGAAUAAUAUAUCGUUUGGAAUUCGUACACCGUCGUUAUGUGGCAUGAAUGGUGUGUUCUUCUUUGUUGGUAGUUGGUGUGAGGAAUUGAUUAUUUUUUUAAUGUUUGUUUUUUCUUUUCAGACACUGAAAUCAACUCAAGCGAUGGGAGAGGCAAUGAAGGGGGUGACAAAGGCAAUGGGCCAGAUGAAUAGACAGAUGAACUUGCCAUCACUACAGAAAAUUAUGCAAGAAUUUGAGAGGCAAAACGAGAAGAUGGAAUUGACAACUGAGGUGAUGGGAGAUGCAAUUGAUGAUGCUUUGGAAGGAGAUGAGGAAGAGGAGGAAACAGACGACCUAGUUAACCAAGUUCUUGAUGAAAUUGGUAUAACUGUCAAUCAAGAGGUAAUCAGCACUCGUAUGCUUUUCUCUUACAAAAUAAAAAUGGUUUUGAACAGUAAUAACAGUAUCUUGUGUUUUCAUUCAUUGCAGCUUGUUAAUGCACCAUCAGCCUCUGUGGCUGCACCAGCUGCAAGGGGCAAGGUUGCACAAGUGGAAGCAGCUGCACCUGAUGACGGUGGGAUAGAUAGCGAUUUACAGGCAAGGCUAGACAAUUUGAGAAAGAUGUAGUCUUCAUAUCUUGUAUAUACUUAUAUUGUUGGCAUAGUGUGAAAGGUCAGAUUUCCUUUUUGGCCUUGUAAUAUCUGUGAAAAUUAUUCAAGAAUUUUUCGGAUCAGGAUAUGAGAUAUGCAGAUUCUAAUAAAAUUACAUUUGGUAAAUAAAUCUUUACUCGGAGAUGCCGAAAUGGUAAUGCAGGUUGUAGGUAUGUCCUAAUUCACUGGUCUUUUGAAUGCUUUGUCAAUCUGUUUGAUUAUGCAUUGAUCAGAAUACUGUUAAGUGUCGUUUGUGAGCACAGGAAAUCAGAGUUCUGUCGUUCUUUUUGAGUGUGCAUUAGAACGAAGACGGAUCCAAAGGUGAAUGCCAAGGAUUAUAACAUGAUCGGGGAUGUGCAAUUCAUAGUGAAUUUGUAUAUUUACAAUGCUUUAUAACGAAGAAUCGUCUUUUUAACAAUAGAAAGCCAGUAGUAUAAACUCACAAUCUUCAUAACUGAGACGAUUGAAGUUGAGAGCAGACCAGUAGUAUAAACUCAAAAAUUCCGUAUCAUAUACAAGUGGGCAGACCUUGCCGGAAAAAAUUAGGAAAAAUGUUACCCUCUGUCCCCUAAUCCUUGUUUUCUUCCAUGAAUUCCUUGUUAUCACCGUCCUCAUAUCACAAAGUGACAAACCAACAAACACCAAAACCCAAUUUUUCCUCCUCCACCUUUUUUUUCCCUUUUUCUUUUUUCUCUCGGAAAGAAACGAAAAGACCUUAAACUGGCAAACUUGCGCUGCCGCUGGAUACCAGCAGGACUUCUCUGGAAUGCUCCUCCGGCGUAGCAGAGGGUAACUCUCGGUGGCACCAUGAAACGACCGGCACAGUUGCCCGGCAGAGCGGACAAUCGGAGUGAGAGUAGAGCCACAUAUCUAUGCAAGGAGCAUGAAACGAGUGCUUGCAGCUUGGCAACUUCCUUACCUCUUCUCCAUCUUCAAAUACUGACAAGCAAACUGCGCAUUCAUGAUCGAUCACUACUUGACCUUGUUCUUGAGCAACUGACCCCUCCUUCUGUUUCUUGUACUUGAAGCUAUCCAAGUUCUCAAAGCUCCUGCUCCUUGCUGACCUUGCAGCCUCAACGAAAGCGUUGGACCGUACAUUUCUUGGUGGUGAUGGUGGGCGGCGCGGUGGAGACCAUUUGAUGAAGAUGAGAUUGUACAUGGCUAGAACAAUAGCGGCAGUUCCAACAACUAUGAGGCCAUAAUACAACAUAGGCAAGCUGGUGGCUUUGGCCGCCGAAGGUGGAGGAGGCGGCGGCGGAAAAUUGGGGUUCGGAUAGGGAGUUGGUGCCAUGUAGAAACCCAUGCUUGGGUUUGUGGAAAUGAUCGACAUGGGAAAGUUAUAGAGACCAGAGAGGAGGGUUUGAGUUUGAACUUGGUUUUCUGAAUUCUAUAUAUCAUUUGGGAUUAAACUAACAAGAAGUAGUUAAUCAGAAAGCCGUGGUGGUCAUGUUGUUGUAGAAUAUAAACUUGUUUAUGAUUGAUGGUUUGGAGAAUGAUUGAAUGAAGACAAAGCAAAACACAAUGACAAGAAACCAGAGACGAAGGUUGGAUUGGAUUGAAUAUAUUGUUGAUAAGAAUUCACUAUCUCUAGUCGACCCUAUGCUUGACUUGGAGCAGAAACAAAUAAAUAAAAUACAUAAUGCUAGCUCUUAUCGAUGACUUGUAUGUACUAAAAACAAAUUAACUCAUUCGGCAAUUGUUUUAUUCACUAGUUCUCUAUGUACAAAAAGCUUAGAAGUUUGCAUAAAUUGUUACCAUUUCUGAUAAAUGACCUGAUCUUUUUUUCUUUUCUUCCUUUUGGAAGAGGGGAAAUUUAAGCUGCCUCAAAGCUAGCCCAAUGGACUGAUAAAGUAACUAACCAGUCUAAUGGACAUGCCCAAACAGACACAUACUACAAAGAGAACAAGAGAAAAUUAAUUUUCUCCUGACUCCACAAGAGAUCAGAAAAUUAAUCCCUAAAAUAAUAAAAACUAAUACAUAAGCCCAAAAAGGGCCCAAAUCCACUACAGAAACCCUAGUCGCCGCCAUCCAGAUCGCACCGCGAGCAACACUGCCAACACAUCGUUGCUAAAUUACCUGAUCUUAAGUUGGGUACUUGCAUGGGUUUGUUGGAGUCUCAUCAGUCUAUACAAUUACCAAUUUCUUGUGGGAGUGAAAUAGUUUGGCAAACCCAGCAUAGUUACAACACAAAACAUAAUAUGUAUAUGAGAGUGAUACAAUCAUUUUCAUUUUUGAAAAAAAAAAAAAAAAACAAGUAUUUGAUCUCUAAAUUACAAUACAUAAAUGUGUUGAAUUAUAGAAGGAUAGAUUUCAAUUAGAGCUCCUUAAACCCAAGCCCAAAUGCAAUUCUUGCUUCCUUUUUCCUCUAGCUCAAACUCUCAAAAUCCAAAUGAGACUCGUCUUUUGCUCAAUGUCUUCCCCACAAGUUCCACCCCACCUCCAUCUAGAUUUUAACAACCAAUAGAAAAUAAGUGUAGAUCGAUUGAUUGAUUUCAUAUUCAACUAUACAACAAUACCCAUAAGCCAUUCAAGUAGGAGUAGCACUAACAAGAUGGAACCUAGUAAACAAGUAGAAUAUUUCUCUAAGCAAUAAUAUGAGCUAUAGGUGCUGGUCACUUUGCCUAUGCUUAUAAUGGUUUCUGAAACAGAUUAGUUAGAUCACAUAGGAUAGAGUUAUUUUUUUGACCAAAAUUUUGAUGACUUCAAAAAUAAGCCUUAUAUCAUAUGUUUCAAGAAUUUGACCCUUAAUCUCUUUAGCAAACCAUAUUUAUCAUCGUAGAAGUACAUCAUGACCAUUGUUAAUUUUUUAGUUUCCUCUAACAUCUUAAUUAAAUAAGUUGAUUGAACACAUUAUAUUUAAAAUUAUAAUACAUAUAUAUAAACUCCUAAAGGAAACAGUUCACUUCCAUGCAUUUAUAGUUAGUUAUCAUCAUCUCAAUGUGAGAGUCGACGACACACAUUUGCUUAACCACUGCAUUUUCAUGAAAUGGUAGAAACUAUAACUAUAGUGUGACUACACAUCAGAAAAACAAAAACAAAAAAACAAAAAAAAACCAUAGUGUGACUACAAACCAUAUCCUUUUUUCUUCCUUUCUUCUAAGAAAAAACUUUUUGUUAAGUUUCCUAAUGAAGUGGGGAAUGGGGAUACUAAUUAACAGAAGAAUAGAAACUAGCAAACCAUAUCUUUUUAUGAAACGAAGUCAUUAUACCAGACUGAUUAAUAGAGCUGACCUGAUGGACGUUCUAUAUAUACAUACAGGAACUCCUUCAAGCACCAUCUAUGUGUUUGUUUUGUUUCUACUUUUUCUUUGGUUAAUUUACAAAUAUGGAUAGCUGCAGAAGACAACAAAGUCAAGGUGAUCAUGAAGCAACUUAUGAAUCGCAAAGGAACACAAAGCCAUUGAGUUUGCCUUUCUGGGACCAGAAAUUCUGUUGGACGGUUGGCAAUGCUCCAUGGGGAAAGCUCUUAGAGACGAAGAAGAAUAUGCACCUUUACAAAAACAUUGUGCAAUGGAACGACUCUGUAGCUCAAGACGCAUUCACUGAUGCAAAGAAUCGGUUCCUGGAUAAGGUUGACGGCCUUCCUUGCUACAUAGCGUUGCCUGAUUCUGAUGCUUACAUUGAUGAAAUAGAUUGGAGCAACUCCAGAACUAGCAUCAAUCCCGAACCAGUUUCGGAUCCAUCGGACGAGUCUGGGGAGCAUUCUGGAGAUGACAAUAGCAGCGUAGAUAAUGAAGAUGAUGUUGAUCACAAGGAAGCAGCAGACAUAGCAGGAUUUGAGAACGAUGCUUGGAAUAAGCUGGAUCACAAAAUGUUGCAAGAACUGAUGAUGGGUUUAAUGUUGGAGAGUCCAUUGUGGUAAACAAGAAUGAUGUUAUUUUUUGCCCAUAGCAUAAGUACGUAUUUCAUUGGAUCCUAUUUUAUUCGUAAACAAUAUAUCGUUAGUUGAACUUGUAGAAUAUAAUGUCAGCUGUUACAUUUUGUUUGUUGAUUUGGUAAAAAACUGUUUUUAGUCUAAUUUUGUUUUCAUCAUAACAACGGUUUAGUCUGUGUUUGAGGUGUUUUCCCUUCGUUUCCUACGUCGAAAACUUGAUUAAUUUACUUUAAUAUUCUCACAAGUUUCCUUUCAAAGAGAGGAAAGGAGAAAAAUAGAAACUAAACCACCAAACGCCGUAUCCCUUUAGGAAUAGGAAAUCCAAAUAGCAAAGGGAUUAAUAGAAAUUAAACCCACCAAACGUCGUAUCCCUUUAGAAAUAGGAAAUCCAAAUAGCAAAGGGAUUAAUAAACCGACAUGACCGUUCUGAGCGUUUUUAUAAAAAGCAGCCACUCACAUUUCCUGCAAUUCAUUCGUCUCAUCGGAUCUAUUGAGAGAAACCAAUCUAAACUCUAGGGUUCUUCCGCUUACCUCUCAUCACAACUAUGGGUAAGAUUCGACGUCCACAAGUUGCUUCCAAGCCACCGAAAGACAGUUGGGAAGAGCAACUCUACUUGUCUGUAGGCAAAGAGCUAUGGAAGAUGCUGACAGACUCCAACAACAAGUGCGUAUAUCUCUUCCCAAACGUUGCCCGGUGGAACGACUCUGCGGCAAAAGAGGCUUUCGACGAUGCAAAAUGCCGGUUCUUGGCAAAGAUCAAGAAGGCUCCAUGCGACGUGCCGUCGCCGGAUCCCGAAGCUUAUAUUGAUGAAAUAGACUGGAGCGACGAUGCCAUCCCGGAACUGGAUGAGAGUAUUGAAUGGGGGAGUGAAGGUGAGUUUGGUCUUGAGGGUUUUGAGGUGAUUGAUCCUUCGUUUUGCGUAGGAUGGGGGCCGGAUGAGUGGUACGAGACAAAGAAGGAGGAGGAGGUGAAGGAUUCCGACAAAGUAAGAAAAGAGUGGGAGGCUUAUUGGGAAGCGAAAGCAGCGAAGGCGGUAGGAGGCGGAGGAUGGGGGAAGAGUGGUGGAAGGAACUCAUCGUCAAGAUGUUGCACCCCGAGAUGUGGCGAUGGUUAUUCAUUUGGGCAGAGGAAAGUUUAUAGGGAGAAGAUCAUGAAAACCUAGCCUGCUGCAUGCAGUGGAACUUCGAUGGUGUCAGUAUCGAAUAAAACUGUAGGCCUGUCCUCCAUCGCUAUUGUUGUUAGGGUUUAGCUUGGUUUGGAAUAAGGGCUUUGACGUUCUUGAAAUUUUAUGUACUAUUAUCACAAAGAUUUAUGAUCAUGUAAUAUGUUAAACAUUUUUUAUUUUUUUGGUCAAAUUGAUGUUAAACAUAUUUUCGAUGAGCUUUGAUUCUGGGUCACAAAUAAUUAUUAUUUUUUCUUGUUUAGACAACCUACCAAUGAGUAUAGGUUAUUCCACCACCGAUCCACGUCUAAAACGUGAGUUAUUUUUCACUGUUGGAAGAAUAAAAUUACACAAAGUCCUCAAUAAUGUCAAUGAAACUAUAUAUAGUAAAUGUCGGUAAGUAUUAUGCAGUUGUUGCUCAUGCCUAAAACCAGCAUAUUUUUCACGUAUAAAGCCUGCAGAAUUACGUUAAACAUUUAGAACAUAAUUCACGUUACAUUGCAAUUGAUACGAAAUAAAGUUGUUUUUAACUCGGAAAAAGUUACGGGAUUGAAAUUGGCACCCCAUUUUCAAACAACACAUUCGAUUUUCGCGAUCUGAGAUGAGUUUCUAUUCUUGUGCUGCUAAGGCCUGAAGGUCCUAACUCAGGUCCAAACUACCCCGGUACACGUGACAUAAUUGGCUUACAGCAUCACAAUCUAAUUAAACAUGUGGUGGCCGGAUUAUUGAUUAAUAUAUUGAAGGUGAACUGGUGAAGACCUUGAAUUGGAAACAGAUCGAGGCUGCCAUACAUGGGAUGAUAGGCUGGCUGCGCCGCCUACAGUGCCACCAACCAAUCCUUCCGGCCAAAUCUUUCAUAUAAAAGUUUCAAAUUAACGUUUCUAUAGUACUGAUCUGUUUGUACCUUGAUCCUAGUCGAUAAUUUUAUAAUGAAUUUCUUGUAUUUUUCGCAAAAAUAUUGAAAAAAACCAUUCUUAAGGUUCGUUUGUGUUCUAUCUAUAUCUUGUGGUGAAGACAACCAAGUCUUUGAUGGGUUUUUUGUGUUGUGCAAAAAGUUACUAUUUACCACAACAUACACGAGUUAACUGAUUCAAUCCGAUUUGGAAAGUGCAGACAUAUAUGGAUGCCAUUCGCCAAAAAAAAAAAAAAAAAAGACAGAUAUGGAUGCCAUGGUAUAGAAUCUUGAAUUAUGAAUCAAUCAUACAGACGGAUCCAUCCAACUUUUUUAUAAAUCCAAGAGUGGUUGCAUCAGCUAGCUCACCCACAUUCCUCAGAUACCCACAUUACGAUAUAACUACUAGAUCAUGAUCAUAUUUUAAACACAAAUCUCUGCAACUAGUGCCAUAAUUUGUUCAUAAUGUUACAUAUUAACCAAAUUAAAAUAUAACAACAGACAGUGCUGCAUCUAUGUAUGCUUCACCUCUGAGUCUCUGACCACUUCUAAUUUUGUAAUCCAAAUGUUUCUGAUACCAAUUAUUACUUUAAAUUCCAUGUAUCCUUGUUGGGUUCUUGUUGGACUUGUUGAAGCAAAGUACCAAUCUCCCCUUUCUAUUUUUGGCUAGUAAUUUUCGCGCGGCUUAAAUAUUAAACCCGGGAAGAAGAAGCACAAAACCGCCAUGGAAGAACCGUCUAGUUCUUCCUCUCUGUCAGUCUCUGGUCAACUAUUUACACCUUCAACCACAAGUCCAACUUGCCCAGAAAUCUAUACCUAUAAAACCAUUUAAUUCCUCCUCUCUCUGUCACAAAGUUCUCAACUUUCCGGCCAAAAAGAUUCAAACUUUAUCUACUAUUUCAAUGUCUACUUGAAUUUCGAAUCAUCAGCAACACUGAAAGAGCAAAACCCACCAUGGAAGAGAAGAAACCACCACCAAACGACGUCGUCGUGCAAAUUUCCGGCGCCGAUGACUCCUUCAUGUUCUCGCCGCAGCCUUCCCGAACUGGGUCUCCUCAAAAAGACUCCAACUUUGAGCUCACCGAGCUCAGAUUCCCGGCCGGCGCUACUUCGCCGGAGAUCACAGCCACCACCGCCGCCAAGCCGCCGCGAAUUCCCGGCGAGCUUCGCCGCGUCUCGCUUGCCAGGUCAGCAUUCUCCAAACCCAAGUCGAGGUUUCAGGAGCCGGUUUAUACUAAUGAAGUCAAGGUGACUGAAGAAACUCCUCAGAGAAAGUCAAGUGCAAAGUCACCCAAUGUGGGUUCACCAAUCACUAGAACCACGGCUACUACUCCUAGAGAAGGUGUGAGAUCGACCCCUAUAACGCCGAGGACGCCGCUGAUUGGUACACCGGCGCGUGGAGAAGAGGAGGAGGAGGAUGAUGAGGAGGUGUACAAGACUGCCAAUCUUAAGGUGCACCAGAAGAGUGGUAAGAAGAAGGUGAAGAAGUUGGUGUUACUUGAGUGGGUUACAUUUAUGUCCAUUGUUGGGUUUUUGAUUGCUUGCUUAACUGUUGAUAAGUUAGAGAGUAAGAGUAUUUGGUCAUUGAGAUUGUGGAGAUGGUGUGUGCUUGUGUUGGUUGUGUUGUGUGGUAGGUUGGUGACAGAAUGGCUGAUUAAUAUCUUGGUUUUCGUGAUCGAAACAAAUUACUUGCUUAAGAAGAAGGUUUUGUAUUUUGUAUAUGGGUUGAAGAGGAGUGUGCAGGUGUUUAUUUGGUUGGGUUUGAUUCUACUAGCAUGGGGUUUGUUGUUUGAUCAUGGAGUGAAGAGGUCGAAGAAUACGUCUAAGAUUCUAGGUUAUGUGACUAGGGGUUUGGCUUCUUGUGAGAUUGGAGCAGCCAUAUGGUUGUUGAAGAAUUUGUUAGUGAAGCUGUUAGCCACCUCUUUUCAGUCCACCAGGUUCUUUGAUCGGAUUAAAGAAUCGAUAUUUCAUCAGUAUGUUCUUCGAAGCCUUUCGGGGCCUCCAUUGGUGGAGAUGGGCCAGAUGGCUGGAAGAAAAUUUGGGAAGGAUAGUGGCCGGUUGAGUUUCAAAAAUCUGCCAAAAACAAAGAAUGAUGGGAAGGAAGGGCCGAAAGAAGAAGUUAUUGACGUAGAAAAGCUUUCGAAAAUGAAGCAGGAUAAAAUUUCUGCUUGGACGAUGAAAGGAUUGAUUAAUGUGAUAAGUGGUUCUGGAUUGUCUACCAUCUCCCACACACUAGACGACAUCAACGAUGAGGAGAGUGAGCAGAAGGAUAUAGAGAUUACUAGUGAGUUUGAAGCACAAGCUGCAGCUUAUGACAUUUUCCUGAAUGUAGCCAAGCGUGGUAGCAAGUGAGAAUUUCUGUUAUUUCCGAGUGUUCCUUAUACUUUUUGGUGACUUGAAUUCUUGUAUAAGCUUUCUGACCCCUGUCAAAUGGACUAGGUACAUUGAGGAAGAUGACCUCUGUCGUUUCUUGAAAAAAGAAGAAGUCGAGCUCGUAUUUCCUCUGUUUGAAGGUGGAGCAGAAACUCGAAAGAUAAGAAAAAAGGCUUUAAAGAAUUGGCUGGUAAAUUCAUUGUCAAUUCACUCUAUUCCUUUAUCAUAUAUUCAUUUGUACUCCCCUGACACAUCUGUACUGUGAAAUGUAUACUGUAUUAUACUACUUCAAACUAAAUUUACCUACUUAUUUGUGAUAUGCAACAGUAACUAUUCAAAUUUAAAUUACACUCUGGUAGGAUUCUUGUUCUUUCAUGUCAUGAACAUUGAUGUAGACAUUCAGACUUUAAAAGAAUGUUUCAUUGCAUGAAUCUUACCAUUGUUCUAUUUUGCAGGUGAAUGUUUACAACGAACGCAAAUCAUUGGCACAUUCCUUAACUGAUACUAAAACAGCCAUAGAGGAGUUGAAUAGGCUUGGCUCAGCUCUUGUACUUGUUGUGAUCCUUAUCGUAUGGUUACUUCUGAUGGGAUUUUUGACAACCAAUAUACUGGUCUUUAUAUCAUCACAGCUUUUACUGGUGGUGUUUGUUUUUGGUAACACUGCUAAAACUGUGUUUGAAGCCAUCAUAUUUGUCUUUGUGAUGCACCCAUUUGAUGUAGGGGACCGUUGUGUUGUUGAUGGAGUACAGGUAACUUUGAAAUUCUAAUUUCCUUAUUUACUGCUAUUAAAAGAACAUACUUGACACUUCAGAACUUGACAGUUGAUCGUUGAAGAGAUGAACAUAUUGACAACAAUCUUCUUGAAACCUGACAAUGAGAAGGUAUACUAUCCAAAUUCAGUACUUGCUACUAAAGCCAUCAGCAACUUCUACAGGAGCCCGGAGAUGGGUGAUGCCGUUGAGUUUGCUGUUGAUGUUUCUACAACAAUUGACACUAUUGCGAACAUGAAAACCAGAAUAAAAACGUAUGUUAACUCCAACUUAUUGUGCUUCUCUAUUAUUCACUCUAUACUUUUACUCUUCAAGACUAUUUCAGCUCAAAAACAACCAACUUAUUAUACGCUUGUAGAGUUCUCAUGAAAAUCUUUCUUUGAAGUAUAGUUACAGGCUGUACCCACUUAUUUAGUCCCGGUGAGCCUGUUGCUCACAUUAUGACAUAAGAGAUUAGAAUCAUCUAGUCUACAGAUAAUCUCUUUUAUCCGCUUAAUAGCCGCAACUAGGUUUCUCAUAUGGAAUAGUCUUUAAGUUCUGUUGGGUGAUUCUGCCAUUCUGGUAUAACAUUUGGCUUCCUUGGAGAACUAGAUCCUUAUUUUGUUGAUAUAUUCCUAAUUAUGGCUUAUAGUCUUAUACCAAGCACAUAUGUGCUAUCCUGUUGAUUAUUCUCGAUUCCUCUCACUUGUUCAUAAAAUGACAUCCAACUUUUACUGUUACACCACCUCAGAUAUAUCUAUAUGGAUUGAUGAAGAAAUAUUUCAAACUUCAGGUACUUGGAGAGCAAGCCUCAGCACUGGCGUCCUGGGCAUAGUGUGGCGGUGAAGGAAAUCGAAGAUGUUAACAAGAUGACAAUGGCUCUUUAUAUUUCUCAUACGAUAAAUUUCCAGAACUAUGGAGACAAGACCAGCCGACGAACAGAACUAAUCUUAGAGCUGAAGAAAAUAUUUGAAGACCUUAAUAUAAAAUAUCACCUCCUGCCUCAAGAGAUUAUUCUCACCAAAGUUGGGUCAGCAACUACAGAGCUUCCACCCUCAUGGCGCUGACAAGUUUUGAUAGAUUUUGAAGAAGAAUGUCUGAGCUCCUACCGGAUGGAGAAAGACUGAAAGAGUCUAAAUGUUGUAAAAUUGUGAUUUCUGAGAUCUACGAGAUGUUUUAUUUUUUGAAAUUGUUCAUACCCCAGUUUUGAGUGAAUCUUGUUACAUUGUAAAGGUGAUAAUUUUUAAUUUCAAUACAAAGACCUGUACUCUGAGAAUCAUCUGCUCCAUUCUCUCUUAUCAUUGCUUCAAAGAUGACAAUGGUUCCUUGAUCAACUUUUUGUACAUGAAUUCACUAACGUCCUUAUUUUUUAAAAUUUUAGAUUAAAAUGUGGAUACAAGUUACCAGAACUUUUACUGAUAAAGACACCAUUUUUCAUCAGAUUAUGCAUCUAAAGAGCAAUCUUUACCAACAAAAAUUGGUCGACAUAUGUCGUUUUUUUAAUACAUGCACAGACAAUAACCUAUUCGUUGAAAGGAAAAUCAUUUCUCAGUGCAUUUUCUUCUUGAUUUUUUUUUUCUGAGUUUAUAUUUCUUUCUCGGAUAUUCAUUUAAAGCAAGCUUUGAAAAAGGUACGUGGAUCUCACAACCCUAUAUUUCUAUCAAUAUGUCAAUAUUGAGACCCAUGAUAACCAAUUUUUUUUGAAAACGGGUUAGGACCCAUGAUAACCAAUUUUAGAAGGCACAAAACUGACAGAAUGAAAACGAGGCACAAAAUUCAAUCUUGAUGUUUAAUUGGGCCAAUCAGAUAAACCUUAUCUACCAAUCCCAAUGGAGGAGCUGACACCUAGGACAAAGAUAAUUGACAAGCCAUUCCCACCUCUCAUAUUGCUUGCUGCUCUUUCCACCACCUCUAUGACUAUCUUAAACCUUCUCAAAUUCCUUCAUACCAGCACCAAGCCCUCAAACUUGGCACCAAUACUUCAAAGUUAGACACAGAAAACAACCCCCAAGAGAGAGAGAGAGAGAGAGAGAGAGAGAGAGAGAGUGAUGGCUUCAAGCUCAGCAGUUACAAUGGCUAUGCCAUUGCCCAAUGCCACCACUCAAAAGAGGGUGGUUCAAUCCUCAGAGGCCUUCUUCAAGCCACUACCCCUCAGGCACUCAAAGGCUGUGUCCUCACCUUCAAGAUCAAGUGGGAGGCUUGAGGUCAGGGCUUCCCUGAAGGAGAAGGCCGUCACCGCAAUUACCGCUGCCGCACUCACAGCCUCAAUGGUGGUCCCAGAUGUGGCUGAAGCCGCCUCCGGAGUCUCUCCGUCGCUCAAGAACUUCUUGCUCAGCAUUGCUGCCGGCGGCACUGUACUUGUUGUGAUUGUUGGAGCUGUAAUCGGAGUGUCCAAUUUCGACCCUGUUAAGAGGGGCUGAGAGAUAUUGAAAUGUCAUUCCCUAUCUUCUUCAUGUAUCUGUUUAGUGUUUUGCUUUUGUUAUGUUUACCUUCUAUAUCAUUGUGUAAUAUGACUCUUCUUCCCUCAGUAAACUGUGAAUGCUGAAAUCUCAUUUUCCAUUUUCGAUUCACAUAUUACAUUCAUUCAUAUAGACAGAACCCAAAAGAAGCACCUAGAAUCAAAAGGCAACAAAUUGCAUAACCGAAAUGUAUCUAGUCAUGAAUAAGACUAUCAUGGCUUCUUGGAGUAGUGCGCAUAGUACCAGUCAGAAGAACAAACAACUCAAUAACGAAGUUUCUAGAGUCGCCAGUAACUACAUCUAGGUUUUACAAAGCAUUAUAUAAAUGAAUAAAAUGAUAAUGUGCUAACUUACUAGCUUUCUCCAAUAUGAUGGUAUAUAAUCUCCAAGUAAGGAAAUGGAACUUGUUGAUUACCUAGAAAACUUUGAAAUCACAUCGAGCAUGUAUCUGCUCUCUGCAGAAUAGUUCACCGUAUCUGCCUUAACCACUGUGAUCUUCACCCUCUGCUCAUCGCCAUACAACUCCUCCUUGAUCUUAAGCUUUAACAUAAAAUGGUUGAAAAUACUGCUCCGGACUAUGUCUGCAAACUUUUCCUCAUCCUGCCCGUCAUACUUCAAGAAGUACAACUCCUUUGCUGUGCAACCCAAGAUCUCUGCCCCUGAUUCCUGAAAAGCCGUCACCCAAGUCAAUCCAGUAGAGUCCUGAAUUUGAGCUUGAAGAAGAUAUCUAUAAUCACACUCCUCAAAUUCUUGAUUGCACCUGUCACACUGCCAUCUGUCUCCUGACCUCGACACUUUCUUGCUACACUGCCUAUCUCCAAUCAUCAAUGGGCAUGCUGUGUAACAGAAAGAAUCAGUUUUAAUGAAAGAUAUUGUGGCCCUCACAGUGACCCAGUCUGGCUUAUCUGAUCUUCCAAGACCUUCAUCCUUGAUCUGAGAAACAGUUUUGCGUAUCUCAUUCUUAGUUACACCUCCUGGCAUAAAUUCCUUAGAGAUGGACACGGAAGCGGCAUCCUUUCCCCCUCGAUCAAACCAGUCCCUCACCUGACGAGCCUCGGGCAAAUCUGGGGGGUCGAUGUACAGCCGGGUAGAAUGAAUUGUUCCUAUGGAUUUCCCACUGAAGUCGUUAACCUUCCCAGCUUUGACAGCUAAAACUGGAAAAACACCAGAAGCCAACAUCUCUUCCAGUCUUUGACCUUCCCUGUUACAAACCUCCCCCCAUAGGGUUAUCUCAACACUCAUGCCAGACCAAUCCUUCAGAUGCAGAAUUCUUCUCUGAGUUUCCAUACCAUUCUUUCUCAGGAUAGUAGUAGAAGGGUUGACAGAAGUCACAACACCAAUAACAUCAAGUAUAGAAUUACUCUCAGCACUCUCAACUGCACUAAUAGGCUUGAAGUCAAACAGCUGGGCUGGUAUAGAACCAUCUUCAUCAGGGCACAGUUCCACUGUUGAACUCGCAUCCAAAGUUAUCUCCCAGUCACUCUUCAGAUGAUUAAAGUUCUUCUGCGCAGGUUUUAAGCUACCCUUUGAUAUCAAGUAAACUCUCCCAACCUCAAUAAUAUCAUAAAAGCGGUCAAGAACAGCAUUAAAGCAGGUCACUCUUAUUUCCCCACCCUCAGAGUCAAGGAGGUCGAAAGAGAAAACCUUACCAUCUCCUCGAGCAUUGUUAUAACGACGCUGAUCCCCUUUCGCAGUGACUCUUGCCUUGAUUGCCCACCUUCCCUGAUAAGGAUUCAGAGCAUUAAUAGGUAUAAUACGUGCUGGUGCCUCAUUCUUGAACACGGUACCACGAUUUUUAUACUGUGGAGGUGGCUGGUAGGAAGGUUGCACUGUAGCUCGGAAAUUUGGCACACUGGGAGCUGACAUUUCAGGACGAAAUGUAGGUCUGGGAUUCGGAACAUUGUUAUAAAAGCUUUCGGACUGGUAUGUUGGUCUGGCACUUGGCAUACUGGGAACAGAGUUUUCAGGAUGAAAAGAAGGCCUGGGAUUCUGCCAUUUGGGAACAGGCCCUUGGCCCAUCAUAUGAUUGUUGCCAUAGGCAGACUGCUCAAAAUUGUUCUUUGGCAACGCAGUUUGAGCAGUUGGACCAGACUCACCAUAUGGUUUUGGAUUCCCAAUAAUCUCUGAGUCCAGUACAAUAGUUUCCAUAUUCAGCGCCACAAUAAUCCUGCCAAAGAGUUCAAGUUAACUAGCAUCAGAAAAAAGUAAUCAUAGUUCGUUUGAAUUCACUCAGAAGCUUUCACAGCUUACACGCAUGAUCAGAUAUUUAGUUACAUCACUUUUAGCUUCUCUUAGCUUUGAUAAACUCUUUAGAAUUUCAAUCGCAUCUUUUAACAAGUUACAUCAACAUCAAGCACACACACACAACAGCUAACAUGCUUGAAUCCACACAAUGAAAACAAAAAUCCUCGAUUACUAGAGCCACACUACGAAAAACAAUCCGAAAAUCCGAACAAAAACCUAGAGAUUAGGUCUAUUUACUGCAAACUUUUCUGCACCGUUCAGCUUACAAAGAUUUUCUCAAAAUCACUCACAAUUUCAAAACUCGAAUUCUCAAACCACCGCAACAACAUUCAAUUCAAUUCAGCUCUAUACAGAUAAAUUCAAACUCAUCCAAAUGAAUCAGAAAACCCUAGCCUUCACGAAGCACAACAACAAUCACAUCUAACAAUCAAAAUAGAUCAUAAUUAACCGAAAAUCGAAAAACCGAAAAUGAGAGAGAGAGAGAGAGAGAGAGAGAGAGACGAACUUGCGGUUCUGGACUUCGCUGCAAAUGUACUCGGUGAGCUGCACGACGGAGCCUUUCCUGACCCGGCCGGUCUUGAACAGCUCGUUGAGCUGAGUCGCGACCAUGGCGUGCUGAGCCCAGACGCCGUCGGAGAGCAGGAGCCGGUACCUCUCCUGCGAGCCGAUAAGCUUGACGUCGGUGACCUGCAUCAGCGGCUUCAGGUUGACAUCGCCGCCGUUGAUGAUCGGGACCGCGUUCGGCGUCAGCUGCACCGGCAUUUCCGAAAACCCUAGGUCGGCGGAAGCGAGGGUAGAAUUGGAAAUUGAGAGGGAGAGUGGGAGUGGCGCGGGGGAGAGGGUUAAAUCAACUGAGAAAAGAAAUGAGGGAUUUUGAAUUUCGAAAACUGGGUUUGAGGCACUGGACUUGUAUCUUUAUAUAUGAAGAUGCUCAGUGAUAAUUACAAUUAUGUCCUUUCGUGUUGCCCUUUCCUAUUUCCACUUCGCUUACUUGCUAAAUAGCCACAAGUUUUACCAGACAUUUAUAUGAUUGUCAUGGAGGGAAACAAUUAGUGUAAUGAUGUGAAGUGUUAAGGUUACUUUUAUAAAUUUUUAGUAAUGUUGAAAAUCGUAAAGACAUUAUAAAUGUGAUUUAUCAAUUAUAAAUUUGAAUGAUUCAUAUUUAACAGAUUUAGUUCGUCUAUUAAUUUGAUUUAAUUUAUUAUAUUAAUUAAUUUAGUUGAAAAUUAGUAAAAAUGAUCUACUUAUAUAGACCUAAAACCUAAACGGAUAAAAUAUCAAAAUGUGAUUAAAAAAUAAAUAUUUUUAACUAUAAACCGAAAAAUCUUCGACUAAUUUUUAUUAUUGAGAUUCUUGUUAAUAAGGCUCCCAAGAUAUUAAUACAACUUUACACCAUUCAGCCCAACGACCCAAAAAAAUAUAAAUAAAUAAGUAAACAAGUACCCAACCCAAAAAAUUCUAAAUAAAUAAGUAAACAAGUACCCAACCCAAAAAAUACUAAAUAAAAUAAGUAAACAAGUACAAGGAGGAGUCACAGGUGUAUCUCCAAGUCCCAAAUUCCAACUCCAUCUCAUGUCUCCCGGAACCAGAAACCAACCACAACACCACUUCUCUUCAUAAACGGAUUUACCUAAAGAAACAAAGCAGUUAGCAGUCUCUCUUUCUCUCUUCAGUCCCUCAAACCAGUCUCUCCCUCUUCAGAAACAUACCGCGCCAGUCUCUCUCCCUCUUCAGAUCAAAAUUUAGGUUGGUUUUUGUUUCCUUACUCUUCUGGAUUUAUUCUUUUUAGUCAAAAUCUGAACUGGGUCUGGGAUUGUUGUAUGAAAUUGGUCUUUGUUAAUGAUUUUGUUGAAUUAUUGACUGCUGGUGUUCUGUGGGUUCUUAAUUUUGUGCAUUUGGUGUUUGUGAGUUUGUUGUGUUUGGUUUGCUUUCUGGGCAAUAUCAAUUCAUGGAUUCUAGAUGAAUGAAGAUUGAUUUCAAUCAUCGUUUUGUGGUUCUUCUUUAGGUCAAUCGUUUGGUAGUUUUGAUGUGAUUUCAGUUGGUUUUCUGGGUUCUAUACAUUUGAUGUGUGUUUUUGAACCUCAUUGCUGCUUUUAUUGAAAGGCUGAAUUUCGUUGAAUGAACUCAAAUUUGCACCCUGUAAAGUAAGAUUAUUUGCAAACUGUGUGUAUUAAUUGUUUUGUAAAUUUCAAUUUUUUCAGAGUAGGGUGAGAAUGGAUGAUGAUGAUAUAUCAAUAUCAUUAACUAGAGGAACCCCGCAUUUUUGUCCAUAUUUUCAGUUAAAAGAAGAAGGGUUUGGAAAGUGCCAAGUUGGGAAAUCAGCACAGAGAACCGCAUGGCACCCAACUUCAUCUUAAAGAGCUUCAGAUUUGCUCGUGUGUUUUGCAGAGAUGGGCAACCAAUGGAGGGAUUGGCUUCACAUUUUGGUCUCGAAAAGCAGUUGUUUAGUACAAGAGCGAUUUCCCCAGCGGGCCAAGACGAUUGUACUGUCUCCUAUCUGGUGAACUCGUGUGGAUUGUCCCUAGAAGCCGCUACUCUGGUAUCUCACAAGGUAAAGCUUCAAACUUUAGACAAACCCAACUUUGUUUUAGCCCUUUUAAGAGACUAUGAAUUCUCAGAUACCCACAUCUCAACUCUUGUGCGGAGACGGCCACGGAUUCUGGUAGCCGAUGCCCAGAAAACCCUUUUGCCAAAGCUUGAGUUUUUAAGCUCCAUAGGAAUGUCAAGGCUGGACCUUGCAAAUAAACUGAGCCAUGACCCAUGGUUCAUGAGUCGAAGCUUGGAAAAACGUAUCGUACCCAUGUGUAGCUUUCUCAAGAGUGUGGUGCUCUGUGAUGACAAACUGGUGUAUAUUUUGAAGCACAAGUCGUGUAUUUUCAGUGGGAAUCUAUCCAAGAAUGUGAUACCUAAUGUUGAGCUUGUGAGGAAAUUGGGCAUGCCCCAGUCAUGUAUUGUCUUGUUGCUAACCAGAUAUCCUAUUGUGUUGAGGAAGCCUGAAUUGUUCAGUCAACUUGUGGCUGAAGUUGAACAAUGGGGAUUUGACUCUCGAAAGUCGAGCUUUGUGCUAGCCAUGAAUGCAUUAUGUCGAAAAGAGACGACAUGGAAACGAUGUGAUCAGGCUUAUAGGAGGUGGGGUUGGUCGGACAAUGAUAUUGUUGCUGCCUUCAAGAUGGAUCCACUGUGUAUGAUUUUAUCGGAGAAGAAAAUAAUGGCAACAAUGGAUUUCUUUGUGAACAAGAUGGGGUGGCAGUCACAUACGGUUGCCAAAUAUCCCCAUGUUUUGAGUUACAGCUUGAAGAAGAAAAUCUUCCCGAGGUUUUCAGUUGUUAGAGUUUUGGUGUUAAAAGGAUUGAUAGAAGAGCACAAGUUGAAUUUGGGUUCUGUGAUUUCGGUGUCGGAGGGGUACUUCUUGAAUAGGUUUGUGAACAAAUAUCUCAACCAAGUACCUCAAUUGCUGGAUGUCUACCAAGGGAAAAUGGCAACAUUUUAACAGUUCUUGGGUGAUAGUGUUGAAUCUAGAGGUGCUACCAGGUUUUUCAUAUACACCAAACCCUUCAUUCAGACUUUUAUAAAGUUUUUGUUUUAAUGGGACUUGGCUGUGUCAUGUCGAUCAAUUUCUUUCAUCUCUCUCUCUCUCNNNNNNNNNNNNNNNNNNNNCUCUCUCUCUCUCUCUCUCUCUCUCUCUCUCUCUCUCUCUCUCUCUCUCUCUCUCUCUCUCUCUCUCUCUCUCUCUCUCUCUCUCUCUCUAUAUAUGAGUAACAUAAAGUUUCAGCACAACACUAUCUAAUAUUUGCAGAAGCAUUUCACCUCUAUCAUAUAUAAAUGUUUUAGAAAAUAACAUGGAGCAAUUACAGAUCUUGUGUAUGAUGGCAUGGUACAGAACUUACAAGAGACGAGUACGUAAGAGUUUCAAGAAGGAUUUUGUCAUUUAGAGCAUAAGAAAGGGAUCAGAAGUUCAGACCACUAGGCAUGAACAGAGAAUGAGAGACAUAUCUACUGAGACUCUAAAUUAUUGAUCAAAUAGAUGCUAGAAGAAAUGAGGGUUUUGCCUUUUUUUUGUAACUAAAAAUCAUAUAAAGAAGACUCUGAAAAGAGUUGAAGACUCUUUAGUUUUAGAGUUUUUUAUUUAAUAAAAAAAAUUAUAUGGAUCAAUAAGAUGUUAACGCGUGGCAAAAGUUUUGUGUCUCGGGCCUGAACGGGCUUUCGGUGCAGGACCGAGCCUGAACCGAACUGAAAGUCAACGGGCUGGUCUAUGGCCCGAACCAAACUUCUCUCAAUUUGGACCAGCCCGAUAGGGACCGAUAGGGCUUUUUUCAGUUUUUCUGGGUUUUUGGGCCCAAACGCUCAGCCUUACAUAAACCCCUAAACCCCAACUCUCCCUUCCAGACUGAAAUUUAGGGCAAAUCACUAAGAGAGCAAAACCCAACAAUGGUUGAAUAUCUACCUGAAGAAGUGGGAAUAGUUCACUUCGCUUGCUUGCUAAAUAGCCACAAGUUUUACAAGACAUUUACAUGAUUGCCAUGGAGGGAAACUAUUAGUGUAAUAAUAUCAAAAGUUAAGGUUACUUUGGAAUUUGAGUCUGUUUUUUUUAAAAAAAAUCAUUAAAUAACUUACACACCUUACAUAUGUCGUGAGGUUUGAACUCAUAACCUUAAACUCUUUAACCAACUCCGUGUCUUUGUUGAUUUCUAUAAGAAGAUUGAGAGCAUGAUGAGGUGGCGUAAACAAUGUGGCUGACAAAGGAGCCCGGGGUAAGGCACUUAUUAACAGGCUUGCCAUAGGCAAAAGUCACGAUGGCAUUCUGGUAUUUAAAUCGAACUACUCAUGGCAAAAUGGGAUUAUGACAAUAACCGUCCCGAUUGCGAGCGUCGUUUCCAAAGGUUUGGCGAACACAAUUACAAUGUGGUGGUAAGCUCGCUUAAUUUUCAGUGGUUCUCAGGUUGUCCUCGUUAAACCCACUUUUAAUCAAUACCCUCGCACAUGGAUUCAUAUUUAGUCUAUCUUUUACGUCACCAAAAUAAUGUCACCACAAUACAAAAAUCGAUAAUACAUAACAGGUUACAAGUUUUUGCCCUCGUUGCAUCAUUUUACUCACCUCAACACCUUUAUUUGAAACUUUAAUUUAUUUUCUUUACACAACAAGAAAAUAACGUUGACACUACAUCACAUAAUCAGAAAACGCACUACAUUAAUAUCAGCAACCACCUCGAUGAAUUGGGAGUUGGAGCUGGUUAGAGUAACAACACAUUGUGUUUUUUGAUUAUGUGAUAUAACGUUUAUGUUAUCACCUUAUCGAACCAUUAACGGCACAUCACAAGAUCAAAAACACGAUGCGUUGUCACCAUACCGAACCUCUAAUCUCCAUUUACGAUUUUCACCAACCCCCGAACCAUCUUUGUUCGGAAGAUAAGAUAAUGUGGGAGCCCUUUUAAUGAGAACUCUUAAGUUGAUGAUUUUUCGCCUAUCAUAUUUUUCGAUCUUAUAUCCACAUCUUGACCGUUGAGUUUAUAGGUAUUUAUGAGUAUAUCAUUUAUGCAAAUUUUUAGCCAUAUUGAAAAUUGUAAAGGCAUUCAUAAGUGUGAUUUACCAAUUAUGAAUUUGAACGAUUCAUGCUUAACAGAUUUGGUUUGUCUAUUAAUUUGAUCUAGUUUGUUACAUUAACGAUCACCAAUUUAGCUGAAAAUUUUUAAAAAUGAUAUACUCAUAUAGACCUAAAAACUGAAUGAAUAAGAUGUCAAAAUGUGAUCGAAAAAUAAAUUUUUUUAACCAUAAAUCGAAAGCCUUCAACUAAUAUCAUCGUAGAGAUCCUGGUUGCAACUUUACACCAUCCACCAAAACCCCCACCAUUCACCCCAACGGCCCAACCCAAAAAAUCUAAGUAUGUAAGUAAUAAAGUAAACAAGGAGGGGUCACAUCGAAACAUAUCUCCAAAGUCCCAAGUCCCAAAUUCCAACUCCAUCUCAUGUCUCCCGGAACCAGAAACCAACCACUUCUCUUCAUAAACCCCAACUCUCCCUUCCAGACAGAAAUUUAGGGCAAAUCACUGAGAGAGCAAAGCCCAACAAUGGCUGAAUAUCUACCCGAAGAAGUAGUAGAACAAAUCCUUCACUGCUUGCCCCCAAAAGCUAUAGUCAAAUGCACCCUGGUCUCCAAAUCAUGGAUGUCUCUGGUCAAAAGCACCGACUUCAUUCACACCCACCUCCGCCGCACUGUCCAAACCAACCACCGUCACAGGCCACCACCUCCGUCUCCUCCGCUCAGUCGACGUGGAGCAAAACCACCGUGACUUGUUCUCCUUGCAUUGGGAAAGCCCUGAUUUCGGUGAGUACACUCAGCUCGAAAGCCCUUUCCGUUUUAUUACAAAUGAUAAGGAGAAGACUAUUCCUAGAGUUGAUGUCGAUGAUGUGGUUGGAACUUAUAAUGGCCUCAUAUGCCUAGCUGAUUAUGGUUUUUUGUGCCUCAUUUGGAACCCAUCUAUAAGAAAGUGUGUGGUUUUGCCUAGAACAACUGCUACCAAGAAGAAGGAUUUGACUAGGGUGAUCAAAAGUUUCGGGUUUGGGUACGAUUCUAAGAACAAGGAUUACAAGGUUUUGAGGAUUUUGAGUGAUGGUUUUCGUGAGUUUGAGGUCUACUCCUUGGCUAGAGGGACCUGGAAGAGCCUUGGUGAUGUUCCUGUAGAUUUUAUGCCUUUUCAUUUUGGUGUUAGUCUUGAAGAGAGACAUGUUUGUGUCAAUGAUGCUCUGCAGUGGUUGGUUCUGCGGCGGCAGAAGAACAAGGACAAUGCCAUUGUUUGUUUUGAUCUGCAGGGCGAGACGUUUACUGAGAUGGCGGUGCCGGAUGGUUUGAGGAGGGAGUUGUGCUAUGUUUCGAAGUAUAGGGAGUGGCUAGCAUUGAUCAGGUGUAAAAUUGUAGGACAAGAUCCGACUAGUUCUGGUUUUUUCAUGUGGGUCAUGAAUGAGUAUGGUGUUGAGGAAUCAUGGACUAUGUUGUUCAAUGUGCGUCUGGUGGGAUUUACAUAUGAGCCGCUUAGUUUGACAACGAAUGGGGAGGUGGUGCUCAAGAGGGAUUUUGGUGACGAGCCGAUUUGGGUGGAUCUUAAUAGGAAUUAUGCUAAAGGUUUUGGAAUGAAAGGAUAUAGGUACUGCUUCCUGGAUUGUUUUGUAGAGAGCAUUGUUUUACUUGGCCAAUCCAAUGCUAUUUCCUAUUGAGCUGCUAGUUUUAUGAGAUGUAGUGUCUUUUGCUCCAUCUUCUUGAUGCUAAUCUGAAAUCAAAUGGUUUUAACAUUAGGGGAUCCCUCAGCAUUGCCUCUUUGCUGCUGGAUUAUGGCACAUUUGGAAGCGGUGAUGGAAGUUCACUGAUUGUUCUUGUUUCCAAAAGCCAAUGUGGCUUCAUAAUCUCAUAGUUCUGGUUGCUAGAGACUAUUUCAAGCUAACAGGGUGUUCAAUUCUCUGGCAUUCAAGGCACAUUGUGCAUUCUAGUUGGCAGUUCAAGUCUAGUACCGUAGUAAUAUGUGCUUGAGGUGUGUGAUAAGCAAUGUUGUGGUCUAUGGUGAAGUGCUUUUCUACUGAGCUUGGUGAUGGUCAGGUGGUAGAAGCUGUAAUUUAGGGUCGGUUGAAGAAAUUGAAAUGGUUUAGAAUACUACUGCAAAGUUUCUAAGGGGAGAUUUAUUCUUGCUUGGCUAUUAGGAAAGGUAAGGCUUAAAGCAUACCCUGCACUCUUGAUGGACCUGAAGAAGCUAAAACUAGAGAUGUUGCUAGCUAGGUGUUAUUUUUGGCCUUUGAGCCUCUAUAAGAAAAAUAUAUACUUAACUAAGAGUUUAGUGGAAUUCAAAGUUAAAAUUGGCGUUUAUCUCUCCUUCAAGUAUGUACUUCGUUGUAAGUUUAAAGAUGAUGCAAAAAUUCCCUUUUCAAAUUUCUCAAAAUUUUGAUGAUUAAUUUGAUCUGGUUUUGCUCUAUCGGUUUGCUUCUGAAGUACUAGGGAGUAGGGAUUAGUCCGCUACCGGAAUAAUGGCAACGCAACAUAGUAAAAACAUCUAUUGAAAGCUGAGCGCUUACUUCAUAAACAUAAGUCUCACAUUAAAGCCAAUGAUAUCUCUGAAAGCUUAAACUAGUUCCAAAUUUAUAUGCAGACCAAAAUAAAAGAGCAGAAGAGCUAUUGGUUUUACAUCUUACCCACACACUUUUAUUCUUAUCACUGGCAUUGUUUCUAAUAGCAGCAUAUUGCACAUUUAGACCUCAAUCACGCCUUGUGCAGUUGUGCAUCAUCAGUGAGCCCAUGUCCAUAGCAGAACUUUGUAGUUUCUUCAGUGAAGACAUUAGUUUCCUCCAUAAGUCUGCAUCACAACAAAAGAAGCUAACUUCAGUAUUAGGAAUCCUGCAUACACAAGUGCAUGCAUAAUGAUUGAAGAUAAAGUAUCGAAAUGUUUUCACAUUCGAAGAAAUGAGUAACACUAGUUGAAUAACUUGUUGUGAAUAAAUCUGUACUUACGAUGCGAAGAUCGUCUUGUUAACCACAGUCGAUGAGACAAUGAAUGCACCAUCUAAAUACAGCAGCUCGCCUUGGAUUCGUUCCUGAAUCCUGCUAUCUAGUUGUGCAGCAUCCAGUUUGAGUGGCUGAUUUGAAGCCUGUCCAUUUCAGAUAACAGAAACGAGCUUUUAAACGGCAUCCGGGUAGUUAAGGUCAUGGUAGCUGGUUGCUUAAUCUGUUUCUACUUACCACAACCCAUCCACAUGAAUCCGCAUAAGAUGGCACAUGAGCUGUGUACGCAAACACAUCUGCAGAAAGUAAUAUAUAGGUAUCAAUGGGAUACUUUUGAAGACAUUAAUUUGGAGAAUCUGAAUGAAAAUGACUUUAUUAGUAAUGCAUACAUUUGAACACAUGUUUUACAGUGUUGUAUAUUGAGGUGAAGAUAUCCUUGUGAGAAAGCAUUCCCGCUGGACCAGCCUGUAUCAUAAGCACAUUGUAACAUAAAUUUUAUCACUAAUCAUAUUCAUAUAUGAUUAUUCACAUUUGGGAAUGUAAUUUCAAUAAUAUAAGACUUACUUGAGUGACAAAGAUGCCAUUGUCUUUGAGGUGAGGUUUUAUGACUUGCUCAUAGAAUCGUUUGGUGUAAAGAUCAUUGCAUGGGCCUCCCUCAAUUGGGUCUGUUACGUCCCCCACAAUCACAUCAAACCUCUCUUCAGUUUUCUCCAACUCAGCCCUUUAUUCAAUCUCAACAAUUAGCUAUGGUUCAGUUCAGUUUAUAUCUAUAUGAAGCAUAUAAACAAUUUAGUGCAGCAAGAACCAAUACUCAAGAAAGCAUAGAUAUCAUAGAAGAUCAGAAUGGUUAUAAUUAUAUGUCGUCAAGUGUCUCAUAAUGAGAUUUCAGACAAGAUUAAGCACAACCAAAAUUACUACUACUCACUUAGCAUCAUUGAAAACAAGUUGAAGCCUAUUAUCAGAAAACGCCUCGUGAUUUGCUUCUAAAUGUACGCGGCAAAAAUUGACAACCACCUGCAUAUGGAGAAAGAGUAAUCAGCUAAAGAACAGCGCUAUAUGCUACAUAACAGCAAAGUUCCUCAGAUACAUUGCUGAUGUUAAGCCUAUUUGAAGAUCAAGUCUACUGAGUACUGACCAUAUGUAUAGUUCAUACCUCAUCUAUAUCACACAUGAUAACUUUCUCCACACCUUUGUGCUUCAGUGCCUCCCUGGCUGUAGACCCUUCACCACCUCCCAUUAUGAAUAUGGUUUUGGGGCUGAAAUUACCAAUUACUGAUUAGAACAAAGAUAGAUGAAAACGAAAGCAAAAAGAUCAAAAAUAAUUAAGGUAACUAAAGAGAGAGUUGAGAAAUGAGAUGAUACUUUUCAUGUAGCAAAAGAGCAGGAUGAACCAAGGACUCAUGGUAUAUAAAUUCAUCUUUUUCAGCACUCUGCAGCCUUCCAUCAAUCACCAGAACCUAAAACACCAAAGGAAAAAUGUGGAUGAACCAAAAUCUGUGUACUUGUGAAUAUGUGACACUCAUACAGAGAUAGAGAUAGAGAGAGAGAGAGAGAAAAAAAGAGAUGGAAAGGGAGAGAGAACCUUGCCAAAGCGUUUCGAGUCUAGAAGAGCAGCAUCUUGAAACUGGCUUGUUCCUUUGUGCAACACCCUAAAACAAACCACAAAUGAAUAGGGUAAACAUGUCACAGAGAUUGUGGGGAAAUAUUUUUGAAUAUUUCACUAGCUUAGGGUACCUAUUCAAGGCAAAAGACCAUUUGAGAUCAGCUUCGAGCUGCUCUUCAAACCAUUCUUCACCGUUUUGGUCCUGCUGGUCACCAUUCUCAUCAUCUUGGGGAAUAUCAUCAUCCUGAUCAUGAUCACUCUCGGAGAAGUAGAUAUGCUCAUCAACGUUCAGGGGAGGCUGGUCAUCCUCAAGCGGAACCUGAGGCGGAGGAGAAUAGAAGGCCAUGACAGCAGCACACAGAAACGACCACAGUGGUGAUGAUGUGAUGGUGAACAAACUUUUGAGUACAGUAGUAUGAACAAUGUGAGUGACAGUGACUAACUGAAUAGCUCUGUCUGUAUAUAGAGCAAUGAAGCGUUACGUAGUAUAAAGUGCCAUUCAUGCUUGCUUUGGGGAUAAGACUGAAUGGUUUUGUUUUUACUUUUUACGCAUUGAUGAAUUUACCGGGCCAACCAAGGGUGAUUCAGAAGUGUAGCAAAGACAAUACUGCAUGAACGCUUCGUGUUCAGGUCAAAUGAGUCGAGGGCCCACCUUUUUGGAGGUCUUAUCCUCCUCUUAGUUAAAUUCUUUGAAUUAACCACGAUUUACUUCUGAAAUUGAAUUGUUCAUGACACGAUGUUGUUUUUGAAUCUAAUUUGGUAGAUUAUGUUUUGAAUCUAAUCGUUCAUCUUGUGACUACGUGACGCACACGAUAUAGUCACAAACAAGCUGAAAUUUUACGAAGACGACAUUUUGAGUAUCGAAUACCGUGGGUUCUGAAAGUUGUGUUUUACAUGAAUAAUGUGUCAAAUUUUUCAAAGAUACAUGACUCAACUUCGUCAAGACUUGAGAGUAGCUACUAGACUGAUACUGAUUUGAGAAUAUGAUUCUGAUAAGUCAUAAAACAGUACAAGUGAAAAACUAAAAAUUCAUAAAAAUCCUUAAAAUUAAGAAACAUAUUUUAAAUAAAGUAUCAAGUAUGAAACAAUUCAAGAUAAAGGAUCCGCCCCAUCUUUGCAGUACACAAAAUUUGCCAAAGGAAACAAUAAAACUAGAACAACCAAGUCUGAGGCUAAAGUUUUGACCAAAAAUAUAAGAGCCUGAAGCUAAAGUUAUGAACUUGCGUAACCCAGAACAUUUCUUAAGCCACUGGGAGGGCUGGCAUGGCUGGAAUGUCAAUAUCAGUUGGGGCCAAAAGAGGCGCUGCUUCAAUUUCUGGUGCCCGCCUGACAUACUCAUCAUCCUUUGGUUGGUGGAUUGUAACCAGAUCAGGUAGAGGAGUCAUGGGUCCUUGCUUGCCCUUGGGAUCCCAGUCGAGCAUAAUCUUGACCUUGAUACCAAGAACACCCUGCAGACAAACACACGUGUCAGACGACAUUAUAACAGCAAGACAAGCAAUUGUCACCGAAUAAUGGUGAAGGAAAUGAGAUCCAGGAGAAGGGGACAAACCUGUCUGAGGAGAACAUGUCUCACAGCUGAGUCAAUGUACUCAUUCACUGGCUGACCAGAAGAAAUCAUGUAGCCAUCCUUGAACUUCAUGGCCUUGGCUCUCUGUGCCCUCAGCUUUCCACUAACAAUCACCUGUAAUUGUACCAAUGAGAAUUCAAAUGUUAGUAUUCAAUUUUCAUCCAAUACUGUAUCACAAUAUAAAAAACAGUCUGAUUCAAACCCACCUCACAACCCUUUGCGCCACUUUCCAUGACAAAUCUUAAAACACCAUAGCAAGCCCUGAAAGAAGCAAAUGUGGUGUGUCAAAACACCUGGUCAACAACUAACAUAGAGCAAGACAGAACUAGUAAUGCUGUCAAUAAUUAGGAAAGCUUUUCAAUACCCAAGUUAUGAGACAAAGAGAGACGUUACUUUAAAUAUUCAAUUCAGAAACAAUAGAUAUAUUUUCAGAUUUAAGAACACAUAUAAAGGGGUUUAAAGCAUGUACAUUCCCUACAGUUGCUGCAUGAAAACAAUUAAGCCUCACGAAGAAUACCGCAUAGAAGAUGUCAAUCAGUUUUGUCAUCUUCCGACACAAAGUUGAUAGGAAGUAACCAAUUCGCUUUGUAGAUGACAUAAAAUACACCAGAACAUAAGAGAAAAUCAUUCUCCAAUCACUUUUAACAGGUUGAAACUUCUGAAUUUAGAGUUACCAUAAAAUUAAACACAUGGCAAAGUAUGUUAUACAUAACUAUGUACCCUCCCAGAGGUAACUAAAUGAAAACAAGCCUAUUUCAUAAAAAAAAAUCAAGGAGGACGUCAAUCUAUUUCAUCAUCUUCCGACACAAAAGUGGUAGUAAACGACCAACCCUGCUUUGUAGAUGACUCACAAAAACAUCAAACCUCACUUCAAUACAUACACCAUAUAAACCCAAAUCAAGUUUUUUUUAAUAAUGUGAGCCAACAACAAGUUAUUGAAAUCAUGGUAAACUAACCCUAGUCCCAAAAUAAAUACUACUUAAAUGUACACCAAGUGGCACGGCAAUGAACUUCAAAACAGAACACUAAAUAGUAUCCUACAACCUUGCAUAGAAAAAGCAUAUAUUUGAACGUGUGCCCUCCCUACCACUUCAUGAAAACAAGGACAUCUCACAACGAUAUUGGCAUGGAGGUUCAAAAUCAAUUACGAUCCGAAAUCAAUUUCGUCAACUUCCGACACAGAGUUGGUAGCAAAAACACCAAUCUGCUUUGUAGAUGACAUAUAGCCACAUCUAACAGGCAAUCCAAAACAAUAUCAAACCAAUUCGUCUAAAAACUCUCAACACCACAUGUCAUAAACCAUUCAGAACCAAAUAUAUGAUUACUAUCAAAUCGAAAGCACUAAAAGAUCACUGCAAUACUAAUCGCAUCGUAUACCUGCGAACAGGUAGGCCUCCGAGAAGCUUGUAUCGGAGAGACUCAGCCUGAGCAGUAGAGCAAAGUCCUCUGUUGGCGACCUUCUCAGCAUAAAGCUCGACACCUUUCUCAGGGAACUUGAACCUCUUCUGCACAACUGAGGUCAGCUCCCUAAUCCUCCUCCCCUUCUCUCCGAGCACGUUUUGAGUCCUGGUAGCCCUGAUUAUGAUCUCAGUGCGCAUCGGCGUAACCCUAACCUCAGCGCCGGAGUAGCCGUCUUCGGCGAGCUCCCUCAUCAGAAGCUCGUUGAGCUCGGCGAAGAAAACGCCGUCAGCGACGAACUGAGGAACACAGAAACGAAACAGAGAUAACGAUUCAGAUCAAAACUCAGAUCGAUUUUCAUACUGUGGGGGAGAAGAGAGGGGGCUUACCUUUCGCUUCUUGCUCAUUUGUGUAGCCGUCGCCAUUUUCGAGAUUGAGAAGCUGCAGAGAGCGAGAUCUGAAAUGUGGUGGCGGUAGCUCUGCAAACCCUAGCGCUUUGGUUUUGUGAGCAGCUGGGGAUGUAAAGGAUAUACAGCUAGGGUUUAUAUGUGUAGGUGGACAAGGUUCGACGGUGGUGAUUGGUUUAGUGGACGGAUGAGAUUUGGUCUGGUUUGUCUUUUUGUUUUGGACUUGGGCCUCAGGGUUUAUUAGGUUUUCUGUCUUGGGCCUCAGAAUUUGGUUAGUAUCGGGAGCAUAACCCAGAAAGUAUGUAAGUUAAUGGACUUUGGGUAAAUUGUAAUGGGCUGUGUAAUUUUACUCCCACUCCACCUGUGAAGUUGGACCCAAGUCAGUUCAUGUGUCGCUUCAAGAGAACACAUUGGUUUAUGAUCAAAUUCAAAAGGAGAACUCUUUUCCUUACCUUUCACAAAGUGCUGACAUUGAUGAUGCAUUUAGAUACUACACCAAGUUUCAAUACUUACAAAUUUGUUAUCGACGAAACUGUUAGUGCACGUUUGACACUGAGGACUGUAUUUCUUUGUUUUGUAAGAUUGUCAUAGACUCAUGUGGGUUACCUUGAGUUGUACUAAUAUUGACCAUUGUUUGGUGUUGCACGAGAUUAGAGAGUAGUUUGAUUGGUUUAUGAUUUAGAAGCAAUGUGUUAUCUAACGAUGAUCAAUCUGAGUACCUACUGUCACACCAUCUAAGGAGGCCAUAAUGAAAACAAUGUGUUAUGUAAGCUCAUUUACAUACCCAGUGACACUAAACAUGAUUUUAACCAAAUUGAACUCCUUAUAUAUAGUCCCAGUAAACAAAAUGAAACUCGCACGCUAACUUAUUUUGCUUGUCUAAUUGAGACAAAUACUCUUUCUCAACUUCAUCUACUUCAAUCCCUCAUGGACUAUAAACAGAAUCAUACAUAAACACAAACUUAUGUCUUACUCUGAACACCCUUUAAAAUUGGUUACCUACCCUCUAGAGGCCUAUGAACAUCUCAUAUUUUAGAUCAUCACACAAAGAAUGUGACACUCCCCGUAAAAAAUUGGGUCUCACACACUUUUUGAGACCUAGGGCGCAAUGCUCCAAAAACACACAAUUACUUUGCCUACAAAAAUGAGGGGGGGAAAGUGGGUUGUGAUCAUCAUCAUCAUUGGUAGUGUUACAAUGGCAGAAUAAGUAUGGGCGUGAAUUAUAUGAUUACCUAAUUGGGUCAUAUUAACUUAACAAAUAGUGCAGAAGCCUAUAGAAUCAGAUUUAUAGUCUCUAAUUAAAAAUAGCCAAAACUAGACAUGACAACCUUUCCAACCUGUUUGCUUGAAAUUUAAGGGACACAAGAAUGGGGCGAAGAAGAAAGUAGAUUCCCUCACUGCACAUGAUGUAAGUAUUUUCUAGCAGCAACAUGUAUAAUUUGUCUGGCCUGGUUUUAGUGACCAAUUAUAUAUCUGAUCUUCCUCUAGCCCUUAAUGAUUUGAUUAGCCUUCUUACCCUAUAAAUCAAGCACUGUAUUAAUUAAAUGAGAUCAUGGUCUUAGUAGGUAGUCUAUGAUUUGUUUAAAUUUGAUGCACUAGACUAAAAGCUGGAUUAGUUUGUUAAUUACAAAUUAGUAGUCCAGCAUUGUUGGGUGGCCAGCUCGUAUUGGGGGAGAUUUCGACGGUGUGAUCAAAGAAUGUGACUGAUUUUGAUCACAAGGACGAGGUUCCAUCUUUGUUGGUGUUGUUUUCAUGGGUUUGCUGUCAUUAGCAUGCUAAAUCUGUGAUUAGUUGAGAAAGGUGUCUCAAGUUUAGUUUUUAAUUAGAAUGGGAUGUGAUAUUAUAAACGCCCAAAUCUGAUGUAGAUGUGUACCCUUGCGCAUUGGUGGAGGAGACCAGGUUAGGUUCGUAUUAAGAUGACAUAAGCUCGCCUUAAUUGUUACAAUACCAAUAUGGUCACCGUGACACGAUAUAGAUGAUAAUAUGUUUAAUUACAUAGAUUUUUAGUUCGGAAUAUCUUAUUUGUUAAGUUGCCCGCAAUCUAUUAAUGUUUGUUAAAAUGAAGUAAUCAACAAUGACAUUCAAUUGAUUGAAAUAAAGACUAUUGUAUACAAGAAAAGUAGAACCAUGAACACGAUAGUGCAUUGUGGUGUUGGAAUUUUGUGUCUUGAUUUAAACCGAUAUUGUGAAAAGAAAAGGCUUCAUAUAGGUGAAGAAAUGUAACACAAUCAAUGUAAGUCAAUGAUUUCCUCCUAAUGGUAAUUAGUCCCUUUCGGAUAAAACUCACACUUGUCUUUACCAUAUGUUGUUAACAAGCUUCUUAAAGGCCCCGUCUAGGGUUUAGGCUGUAACAAGUUGCCUCGUUUUUCUUCGAGGCCUUUGUGCUAGGUUGUGGGCAAUUAGGCGGCUGCCUAAACGCCACUUAUGCCACCUAGACACAGCCUAACUCGCCUAGGCUACUAAGUUUUCCGGUUAAUUUGUUGUCUUUUUGUGGUGGGGUUGAUAUUGUGGGGAGCAUGAGAGUAUAAAAGUGAAUGAUGUGUUUAAAAUUAGAAUUGUAUAAAGAAGUUAUGCUAAAUUUUGGAUAAAUUUAUCCUAUAAAUGAAUCUCAUAAGAUUUAUGUUGAAUAAUUUAUCCAUAUUUGACCAUUUUCAAGUAUUUAAGUACAUAAAAUAUAUAUUUUUAAUUAAUAAAUCUUUAAAAAAACAAAUCGCCUAUACCUCGUUUGUCCAGGCUUUUGCCUGCGGGUUACCGCCAGCCUAUCGCUUAGCGCCUUUUAGAACAUUGGUUGUUAAAUACAGAUAAUAUGGAUAUUAAAUGGUACCACUAAGAGUAACCAUGUGAAUUUCGUUGUCGAAAAAGUUAGGCACUCAAUAACUUUCUUUUGAAAGAGAGUUAUGGAAGCUUGAUUUUCUAUAUUUGCACAAUUAUGCACUACAAGCUCAAAUAACAUAAACUCGAUUUGGAACGAUUACCUUCCUAAAAAAUGUUAAGCACCUUAUGCGUCCGACAUGAACAUGUUCAAAAUUGAUAGGGCAAUGAAGAACAAUAAGACCUAAUUUAUGUUAGUAGUUAGUAAGUACAAUCCCACUUUACACUUCUCUGCCUAACUGGUGAUUGCAAAAUCUGCAACCAGGUGAGAGCAUGAUCACUUUGAACCUACUUUUUCCAGUCCCGUAGCACACACACACCCAAACGUGGCCUAUACAAAAGCUUCUGAAUUCUGAAACCAUUUGGCCCCGAGCAGAUCACAGUCGAAUAGUACUGGCUUGAAUCCAAGCCAAUGUAUCCAACAUAUAUUGCAUACUGGUCCAAAUUUGUAGAUAGGAAUCAUAGCAGGAUUGGAUAGCAAUGGCAUCAUCACUCUCUCCAAGUCUCGACGAAUAUUCAAACCAUUCCCAGCUAUCACUCGUGUUUGGGUCCCUCUAUCUAUCCCAAGAUCAGGAAAUUAGGUUUGCAACAUAACAAAGAUGGGUCCAUCAACAGAGACUCAUACUCAAUCAGAGAAUGAGAGAGUGAGAGAUCAUGAUCAUGAUCAUGCCAAGGAAUCAUUACAACUUGAAGAUAUUCAUAAAGGGCCCAUUUAUUGCUUAAAGGGUACUAAUAAUGCUAGCGAAAGAGUUGAGUCGAUCCACCGAUAAACAAAGAUUAGUAUGACACGUUAAGAUAUACGACAUACAUGGGAGCAAAUUUGCUCCCCACCCAAACUUACCCACCCUCAUACCCACCCUUCUAUAUGGAUGCCAAGUGUCUUAUCCUCUAAUCACCUUAACCAUGGUUAACUACAUGGGUUUAUAAAUUAUAUUAUCUUCUAACUCUAAUUCUUUUCUUUUUCCUUUCCCUCUUUUUCUAAACAAAAUACUCAAACCUAACAAAUUUAGGACUCCUCAUAUUUUGAGGAGCAUCUCUAGUGUCGGUGUUAUCAACUCAAAGUCAUAUUCACGUCGGAUCCAUUCACGUCUGGGUUCUUCCUCCUUCUCAUAUCUCUUCCCUUUUGGUUUCUCUUGUAAGUAUGAAGCUCUGUUAAUCUUUCAUGUUUUUGUUCUUCUCCUUCUGGUAAUUGUGAAUUUCUGAUAAAGUCUAUUGAUCAGAACCCAUCGUCUUAUGCAUAGCAGUGGACUGUGAGGUUGAAUCACUUUCAUGAUCAUGUCUUGUGAGGUUACAAUCUGACAAGGUAUAUAUGAUGCUAUCAAUUUUUUUUCAUGAAUAAGCCAAUUUCCCUCUCAUUGAAUUUAAGAUGCAUCAGUUUGGCUUUGGCAGUUCUCAUGAAUGAGCCAAUUUCCCUUUCCUGAAUGCUACUGCAAAUUUUAAUAUGUACUUAGUGUUAUUAUGUUCAAUGUCAAUAGUUGGUUACUGCAAAUUUCUAUAGUGAUGUNNNNNNNNNNNNNNNNNNNNNNNNNNNNNNNNNNNNNNNNNNNNNNNNNNNNNNNNNNNNNNNNNNNNNNNNNNNNNNNNNNNNNNNNNNNNNNNNNNNNNNNNNNNNNNNNNNNNNNNNNNNNNNNNNNNNNNNNNNNNNNNNNNNNNNNNNNNNNNNNNNNNNNNNNNNNNNNNNNNNNNNNNNNNNNNNNNNNNNNNNNNNNNNNNNNNNNNNNNNNNNNNNNNNNNNNNNNNNNNNNNNNNNNNNNNNNNNNNNNNNNNNNNNNNNNNNNNNNNNNNNNNNNNNNNNNNNNNNNNNNNNNNNNNNNNNNNNNNNNNNNNNNNNNNNNNNNNNNNNNNNNNNNNNNNNNNNNNNNNNNNNNNNNNNNNNNNNNNNNNNNNNNNNNNNNNNNNNNNNNNNNNNNNNNNNNNNNNNNNNNNNNNNNNNNNNNNNNNNNNNNNNNNNNNNNNNNNNNNNNNNNNNNNNNNNNNNNNNNNNNNNNNNNNNNNNNNNNNNNNNNNNNNNNNNNNNNNNNNNNNNNNNNNNNNNNNNNNNNNNNNNNNNNNNNNNNNNNNNNNNNNNNNNNNNNNNNNNNNNNNNNNNNNNNNNNNNNNNNNNNNNNNNNNNNNNNNNNNNNNNNNNNNNNNNNNNNNNNNNNNNNNNNNNNNNNNNNNNNNNNNNNNNNNNNNNNNNNNNNNNNNNNNNNNNNNNNNNNNNNNNNNNNNNNNNNNNNNNNNNNNNNNNNNNNNNNNNNNNNNNNNNNNNNNNNNNNNNNNNNNNNNNNNNNNNNNNNNNNNNNNNNNNNNNNNNNNNNNNNNNNNNNNNNNNNNNNNNNNNNNNNNNNNNNNNNNNNNNNNNNNNNNNNNNNNNNNNNNNNNNNNNNNNNNNNNNNNNNNNNNNNNNNNNNNNNNNNNNNNNNNNNNNNNNNNNNNNNNNNNNNNNNNNNNNNNNNNNNNNNNNNNNNNNNNNNNNNNNNNNNNNNNNNNNNNNNNNNNNNNNNNNNNNNNNNNNNNNNNNNNNNNNNNNNNNNNNNNNNNNNNNNNNNNNNNNNNNNNNNNNNNNNNNNNNNNNNNNNNNNNNNNNNNNNNNNNNNNNNNNNNNGGUUACCAAGUUAUUCCCCAACUUUGGCGAUUACUCACUCAUGAAUUCGCAGGUUUCUAACUUUUUGAUCCUUGUUAAGAUAUACUUGUUAAACUAAUAUUUUCUCAAUUCAUAGCUAAAUAAUAAGCACUAACAAUAUCUUAUAUACGUACAUUUGACAGGAAACUGCCCGACCAAUACCUGAAGGAUCAGCUCGUCAACUAAACUUUGAUCCAUCAAUGUCAUAGCCUUCAUUGUUGAAACUAGGAGUUAGUAUUUGCUCUCAAUAUUUUGUCCGAGGCACUCGAUCUAGAAAAAAAAACAGUACAAUUGGAUCUAUAUUUGCUCUCAUUAUGGUGUUAUGAUUUUCAUUGAAUUCCCUCGCAAUGAAAGGAGUUAUAUAUUGUAAUUUUUUGUGCUCGUUAACUUGUCUCCAGUUCUAGUUUCUAUCUUUGGAAAGAACUGCUUGGGAAGUUUUUUCUUCAUGAAAACUAAGUUGGUCUUGCUGAACAAAAGAAAAAAGAAAAAAAAAACGACUUGCUGAAUAUGGUAUUUAUACAUACCUAGAUGUUAUAUUUGUUUAAUCUUGAGUGUCCCUAAAUUUGUUAGGUUUGAGUAUUUUGUUUAAAAAAAGAGGGAAAGGAAAAAGAAAAGAAUUAGAGUUAGAAGAUAAUAUAAUUUAUAAACCCAUGUAGUUAAUCAUGGUUAAGGUGAUUAGAGGAUAAGACACUUGGCAUCCAUAUAGAGGGGUGGGUAUGAGGGUGGGUAAGUUUGGGUGGGGAGCAAAUUUGCUCCCCGACAUACAUCAAUUGAGAAUCAGUAUAACUGGUAAGGAUAACAUUUAUCAAUUGAUUGAGAAAUUGUGAAACUACUUUAUUUUUGGUUAAAAAACGAAAUUGUGAAACUUUUUAUAGAUCGAAGUUUAAUUUUUUAUCGUGUCUAUUAUUUAUUUUAUUUUCUCCAAAUAAAGAAGAAAAUGGAUAAGCAUAAGCAUUAUGGAGAAGUUGAGUUACAUGCCCAAAAGAGAGAACCUAGGGGUCCUCUUUGUCAUGUUGUUGGGGUGGUCACUGUUUAGACACAUCUGUCUGUCUCUUGGAACUUAUAGUGCUUUGUUUUAAACUACCUAUGGAAUACUUUAAUUUUCUACCAUCAAGAGGACCCUCAUUGGUGUUACAUUACAACCAAAAUAAACAAAUGAAAAAUGGGUCAAAAAAGCCCAUCGUCUCCUUAUCUGAGAUUCUGUUCUUGUGGUGGUGUGUGAUUGGGAACCAUAAACAUUAUAUCUCAAAAGCUGCUUUCUCUCCCAAUUAUUUCAGAGCAUCUUUCACAAAAACACAAUCACAAACAAGCCAAAGCAAAAUCUCAUUCCAAAAACCAAGUGUGUGUGAAAAAGGAGCCAAGCUUUGGAUUCAUGGUAGAUUUACUGUGGAAACAGACUCUGCUCCCACCUGUUCACUUCACCACUUCAGUUUCUCAGUUCAAGCUCCAGAAAGGAGAGACUUGCUUUAGUGCAAGAAGCUGGUUGAGAAAGGGAAAGAAUAAAACUAUAAAAGGGUUUUCUUCAGCAUCAAAAGCUAAUGUUGAUCCUUAAUGAAAAAGGAGAUUCAUGUAUAGACACACACCAGAUUUUUUAGUGUCAUUGUUGACAAGCACAAAAAGUUAAAUAAAAGCUGUACUCUUUCCUUUUCAUUAUCUAUAGAUUUUGGAAUAAGGAAUAAUUUAACUCUCUUCAAAUUCCCCAAGCAAAAUCAUAUGCUUUUUGACAAAUUGGAAAAAGGAAGAAAACCCCAAAAGAGGAUUAUAUCAUCACACAAACACUUCCAUCUUUUCUCUUCAAUUAGAUCCAAGAGUAACAAGACUUACAUUGAAAUAGAGGAGGCAAUUAUUGUCUUAGAAGUGAGUGAAGAAAGAUCUAGGUGACAGUAGUUCACAGAUACAGUAAAAAAGAAGUUACACAGAAUCUAAUUAACCAUCUAUUUAAUUUCUUCCAACCAUGAAAAUGAAUUAACAAGACAAUUAUUGUUCUAUGAAGGCCUAUUCCUCUUGUGCCCAGCUUUACCAUCUGAUUUCAAAGCACCACCACUGGAGUCUCCCUCAGAUGAAGUCUCCAUAGAUUUGGUGAAGGAGCUUGAGAGAUCAGCAUAGAGUUCUACCACCCUCCUGAUAUUGUUGUUGAGCUCUCUGAUCAGACCCACAUUUCUGCUCAGGUUGUCAGGGAUCUUAGACUCAUGGUUUUGGUUUAUCUCAUUUAUGAGCAACCUGUUCUGGUCCAAGAUAUCCUGGACUUGACCAAAGCUCUUCUGAAAUGUCUGCAACACUUUGCCAUCAAUUUGGGUGCCAUUGCCUACUAGCCCAGAAAAUGUGUCCCCUUCCAUUUUGUAUGUUUGAGUUUCUGGGUCAGAGAAUUGUACACCACCAAAUCAGAACCAGAACCAGUCCUGCAUCAUCAAAAAAGACACAUUCUUUAUUCAAUAAACAAUAUAAAGAUGUCAUCUUUUAUCACUCUUCUUCUUCCACUCACCAAAAGAAAACCCAGAAAAGCAAAACAAAACACAGCAGUAAAAACAUGAAGCAGGGUUGGAAUGCUUCAAGGCAUUUUGGUGUACAUGAGACAAGUUCUGCAGAAGAAAAUCAUGAUCUCCAUGGCUUCUUGUUUUUGACAGAACCAGCAGUUAAUAAUAGUAAAAAACUUAUUAUUUUUAUUAUCAUUGGUAUUGUUAUUUAUGAUGAGAUGGGGAAAAAGCAGAUCCCAUUUCCAUAAAAAGGAGCCUUUUUUAAUGUACUAAGAAAUGCCCACCUAAAGCUCAGAGUUCCCAAAGAAGAAUCUCAAGUACCACACAAAAAAAAAUUAUAAAAAAAAAAAAAAAAAAACCAAGUCAAUGAUGCAGAGAAGAUGAGGCCAUGAGAGUGGUACUGCUGCAGAGACAGCAUUAUUAAUCUUUACAAGCAACCUAAGAAAAAAGACCAGAAAUUUAUUGCAAAAAAUGGAAAUUAACUUAUAUAAAAUGGGGUUUUGGAAGCAAAUUACAUAAUUCCAAACGAUUUUCAAAAGUAGGACAAACAAGGACUGAUUGGGGAAUUCCAACGUUAACCGUACUCGAAAAUUUGCAGUUUGCAGAAGAAUAACAUUUCCGGAAGUAGAAAAACAAUACUGAAUACACUCAUUAAUAUAUAAAUAUAUAAUCUGUAAUUCUGUAUAUAUGUAUUUUACUAUUUUACAACUGCAAACUCCUCCAACACCAUAGAAAAAUCUCCAAAUUUUCAUUUGAGGAACAAAAACCAGAAUUUCCAGAAUCGAGGAGAUGAAUGUGUUAAGAAACCCAGGUGAAAACUCAGCUUGACAAGAAAGAAAAACAAACCCAGCUGAGAAAAAGAGAGAAGAUAUUCUUUGGUUUCAGCUUUCCAAAGAAUCAUAACCCAGAUAAUUAAAUAAAUAAUAAAUAACAUACCUUGAAAAUCUGGAACAUUAUAUUCUGCAAGAAGACAGAGAUUGAGGCAAGGAAGGAAGACGACGAUUUCCCGAAAAACGUUGCAAGAAAUCGGCGAUUGAAUCGAAUCUCCGGAAAACACAGAGAGUGGGAGAGAGAGCAGAAGAAAGAGAAAGAAAGAAACAGAGAGACAACAACACAAGGAGGAGAGAAAGGAGGCUUCUUCUCUCUGAAAAUUUUAUUUUAGAGAGAGAGAGAGAGAGAGCAAAGAAAGAGAGAAUAUGUAGAUUUGACAGUCACGCUCGGACCCUCUCUUUCUCUCUCUCACUGUGUGUCUAAAUGUUUUUGUUUUUGUUUUUUUGGAAAUAUUCAUAUUUAUUCAUGGUAUAUUAUUAAUGAUAUAACAUCUAAAUCCCACCCUGUUAUUUCCCUAUUUUAUUUGGUAUGGUUUUUGGGGAUUCAGUUGGGAUUUGCUUGGGUGUGUUUCCUCAUAUGAUCAUGAACCCAAUAAUAUUAGGGGACCCUUUAAUCUUAAUCACACUCUUUCUUAGUGAUUUCCUUCUCUAAUUGUUUACUCAAUGAAUUGUGAUUAUGAUUAUGUGUGAAUUGGGUAAGGGGGUGGAUCCAAAUCUAGAUCUAUGGCCUCAUACAAAUUGGGUCUUGGGUAUUAAUGAUGGAACUGUUGGAAUUUAAGAAUCAACUUUGUGAUUGAAUGUGUAGUGUGUGUGAGUGUGCUCCUAUCUACUUGUGUAGUUGUAGUUGUUGUGAUUAGACAAAUAAAGUGUGUUGAUGUGGGAGUUGAUCAACUAUAAGAAAUAGAGAGCACAAACCUCACUCCAAUAGAGAUCCAACAAGAUAGAAGGGAUGGAUUAUGAGAGGUGGCAAAAAAGGAAAAGGGAGAUAUUUUCAUGCUUUUUUAAGAAAAUUUGCUUUAUCAUGUAAAAUUGAUUUUGUUUGAACGUUGCAUCGCUAGAGUAGUAGAAAGUAAAACGUUAUUAUUGUAUAAUCUAUAGUGAGUACGUAUUAUUAAAACGUAAAGUGUUGUCACGUGUAUUUUUUUACCUCUUUAUUUAAGCAUUAAAAUUGGUCAUACAAAGUGUCUAGUCUAGAAAUAUAGGAUGUAAUUAACUACAACUCAAUAGGCGACCGUUAUGAUACGUUUUGGACCUGUUGAACUUGUAAGUUUUAUACACCUUACACGAGUGUGAUGAUAUAUCACAUUUUAUAUAUGUGAAAAGUAUGUCACCUUGUUCAUCAAAUGUAAGCGGAGUCAAGUGUAAGUGGAGUCAGAUUGAUCUGUAUAUACUCAUUAAAUAAGUGGAUGAGUUGUGAUCAGGGUGGCACUCGAACUCAUAACUAGUUGGUUCUCCCUUAUAUGCGUUGAGGCUUAGUAAUUUCAUAUAUUGUUUCGAUUAGAUUUACCUUACCGCCAACAAACUAGACAAGUAGUGUAUGUUAUAGUAGAACACCUGCAUUCAUAUAUUGCAGUACUUUUGUAAAGAGGGAAGAAGUCAACAAAGUGUGCUUCAACAUUCACGCCUGCUUUGAAAUCAAGGCAAUAAAGAAACAAGUUAAUCACAUUCACUAUUAGACUCAUCAUUCCAGGCUUUGAAAGGGAUAAAAACUUUAACCAUCAUCAAGUAUUCUUACCCAUUAAUAAACCUAAAGAUAUUCACUAAAAGUGAAACUAAUCAACUCCAUGCUCAAAUAAGCAGUGAUACAUUUUCUAGUUAAGCAGUCAUAGUACUAUUAAGCUUGAAAAUGGGAAAUAUGUACUCUAAUUAAAAGAAAAGUAAAAGAAAAAAGAAUGAAGCAAAAUCCAGGGAAAGAGUUUAUCCAAGAAAACAAAAUAUCCUGGGAAAGAGUCGUUUUCAGCGAAUCAGACAGGGACGCGUGUAACGUGAGGCUCGGAAGAUCUGGCAGUCAGGUUCCGAACCUAACCAGCCUCCCAGACCUCCUGAUUUGCUCUCUGCUGCUAUUACUGCUCCCUGCUUUAAUUCUUCCGUUCGAUGUGGGCCCCACGCUUGGUUCAAACGUAAUAUAUGUCAUUAUUUUCCAUUAUUGUUAAUUUCCGAAAAUUAAAUAAAUAAAUAUAUAGCUGUAUCAAUGUAUCAUGUGGGCACGCUGUCCGAGGCUAAUGUUUUUGUACGUUGUAUUUGUAUUUUAAUCCGUGUAGUCUCCGUAUGAUUAUCAACUACAUUAGCGUUUCUCAAGUUUAUACAUCCACCAAGAGACUUAUGUAUUUUUAUCUUUUUGAUCGAGCUAGCUGUUCAUGAUAAUUCUGUAAAAUUACAUAAUGAUUUCCCCUUACACAGUUUUUAGAUAUUCAAUUCAAAUCUAAUCAACGAUGCGUUCAACAAGUGAAAAUUUCACUUAACUAUUUCACUCUUUUUAGUCAUGUGAUUUACGUUUCUUAAAAGACUUAUUUUUUGAUUAAUUAUCUAGGAAAAGUCUGAAAUUUGGAUCUAAUAAAUUAAUGAUCAUCCAACAUGCAUCUUCGUACACGCUAACAAGUUUUAAUUCAAAUUAUGUUUGGAUCUUAAUUUUCAAGGUCGUGAGUUGUGACAUGUUGGUUAGCUAGUCUAAGUAGUAAGUAACAAUGUGGAUAUCAUGAUUUCAUAUCUUACUGAUACCAAUGAUGUAGAUUAAGCGAGUUACAUUGCCGUCCAUAAUAUAAAAUAAUGAACAAAAAUAGAAAUUUGGUUGAUGACUGCAUUAUUCACUUAUAGUAUUACAUAUCGGUUCAUGAUUUAGGUCUCAUGCUCGGUUUCAUGAAGGAGCUAUAGUUUUCUUCUUAUGUGAAAGUGACCAGUUAAUUAGUCCGAUAAAAGGACACUUUGAUGCAUAAGAAACUAGCAAGAUAAGAUUCGAGCUUCAAAUCACACUACUGAAAGAUAUUGUAUUUUGUAACCUAGCAAACAAAAGAGAUUAAGAAUUAAGAAAGAAAGAAGAAGAUUAUCAAUUAACUAAUCCAAUCUCAAAUCCAUUUGCCAAUAAGAUUCUCAUUGACAUAUCACUUUCCUAGUUUCCUACUUAUAUAGAAUUAUAUACCCCCAAACCAUAUGGGUCACGCUAAUUAAACUAUAUGUAGAUUAGACAACCAGUAAUUAAGUGGAAGAAUCUCUUUGGCAUUGUCCUUGUCACAAGUUGAAGUGAUGAAACAUAAUAAACAAGCUAGGGUUCUUGGAGAGGGAAUGCUUCAGUAGUCGUCCGUGCACCGUAUCAGCACAGUCAUUCUCUCUACGGUCAUCUUGCUUCUGGGUUGUGAUUGGUUUUGUUUAAUACUGGAGAUCAGAGUAUAGUAGGGUUUUUAAAGGACCAAUGAUUUCAAUGAUUAUCUGUAAUCUCCAGGAUUGGUUUUCUAAAUCGGAGACAAUCCGGAGGCAAAUGUUUCAGUUUCCACUAAACACGCGAGGGUUUAUAAUAUUCUUCAGCCUCUUCCUCGAUCUCUCUCUUUUUGGUGGAUGAUGGAUUCUUUUUAUUUGAUAUUCGAUCUGAUAGGGCCAAACUGAGCCAAAGCAUAUACUGAAAUUUCAUAUCAGUGUGAUUUGACCCUUACCAGGUUGCUCAGGUUGUCAUCCCAUUACGACGUAAACUCUUUAACUUAUGAAGAAAGUGGCUUAGGUAAGAUCUGAUGGAGUUCAUACAGAGUCGUCAUUCGAUCAUUGGCUUUGAUACUAACAUGAUUUAUCGUUUUUGACCUAAACUUUUGUAGUGAUCGAUGUGGAUCCAAGUGAAUGUGUUUCAUAAUGUUGAGGCUGCUUUGGGAUAAAGGACUAGCUAACAGCAUACACUGGAAAAUUUGGAAUUUUGCAAGGUGAACUUGGAACAUUAGAGUACGUAUUGACAUCGAGGCGGAGGCGUGGAGCUAAGUACGUAGAUCGAUCUCUUGGAUAUGGUAAUAAGAUGAUAGUUAGAGCUAGCACAUAACACAGUAUGAAAAUUACGGAUACUUGCGAAAAUUUCAUAUUGGCUCUUUGAUAAAAAUGCGACUAAAUUAGAACUAGAUACACCGGUUCACAAAUGAAUGGAGAAAAGUUUAUGAUCGCACUAGUUAUCAACACGAUUACAUUUGCUUUCAACACCUUGUACCUUUGAAACAACGUGUGUGAGAUUGAGCAUUGAGUAGGUUUUUCUGGAGUAGGAAUAUAUUAGAAGAUGCAUGGAUAAUGACGAUCAGUCCCUUCCGAGCAAGUAAUGUUUAAUUAUAUGAUGAAUGAUAAUCUGAAGAAACUACUUGUCCCUACUGCUAUGGUCCUGGCUUAUCUAUCGACAAUCGUCCUCUCUUCUGUUCCUUUAAGUUGGUGACCUAUAGUUGUCUGCUCACUGCUCAUAGUGCAUGCCCAAAAUCUUUUAACCUUAUUAGGCCUCAUGUACCCCACAACAAACAUAUAUGCAUGAUCAAUAGCAUUUGUAAUUUACUACUGUUCUCUUCUGUUUUACAGGCUCUCAAGAGUUUUGAAGCUCUAGAGCAGAACAUUAUUGUUGAAUUAGUAUACUGUAUGAAGAACAAUAGCAACCAACUAAUUCACUCAGAAACAUUAUACUAAAACUUUUGCAACUACAUAAGUAGCUAGUAAUGUGCAGUCGGCAUUCGAAUGCAGAUGAAACCUAUCGCAUCAUUCGCUGGUGUGCACCCAGUAUUGCCAGUACAUAUAUGUACCUAAACAUAUAUACAUCAGAAGAAACAAGCCAGAGAGGAAAUGACCCUGAUGACAUUUAUAUUUUUAUGAAAGCUACGUACCUAAAUAUGGAGUGGACCAGAAGUACUCGAUCUGGUUCCUCGGUUGGUCCUAUCAAUGUUUUGGUGCCUCUGUAAUGUACUACUGGAGCUAGCUAGCUUCAUACUCGAUCCAUGAUUCCAUAUAUUGUAUACCCUAUGUCAUCAUGUAGAUUCAUUGUAAUCAUCUAGACCUGUAUAUAUGUAUACAAAAACUUCUUUGUCAAUCUCGCCCACCACCAAGAUCAAAGACCCACAACUUAUAACAACCAUUCAUUCGCAUAACAUAACCUCCUUCAUUGCCAAGCAUUGAUCUCUAUCACUUUACAAUGGCUCAGGCUCUUCAGGUUCUCUGUCUCUCUGUCUCUCUGUCUCUGUCUCUGUCUCUCUCAAGUUAACUAACUGAAAUGUUAACUGCAUGGUUAAUUUAGGAGGAAUUUAAAGAGUAUGCAGAGAAGGCCAAGUCUUUGCCCUCAACAACAAAGGAUGCAGAUAAACUAGUACUCUACGGCCUCUACAAGCAAGCAACCGUUGGCUCCGUCAGUACUAGUUAGUAGUCGUAGAACCCUUAAUCAGAUUACUUUGCAAGAUUUAAUAUACUCCACACUCCUUAAUCCUUAAGUAUGUCGGUGAUGCAGAUCGACCAGGGUUCUUUAGUCCAACUGAGAGGGCCAAAUGGGAUGCUUGGAAAGCAGUUGAAGGUACCAAACCCAGUAACCCUACCUGGCUAAUAAUACAGAACCCUAGCUACAAUCCAUCAUCCAGCUUCUUCUUAUUUUUAAGAUAUAGUGUAUGUGUUAUUAACUUAAUGUGUAUGUGAAUGUUACUCAGGGAAGAGCCAAGAAGAAGCAAUUGCUGAAUACAUUGAAAAGGUGAAGCAGCUGCUAGCAGCUUCUACAAAUACGUACAAGAAUGAUUGUUCAGCAUCGGUCUCUUUCAAUUAAACCAUCACUGUUCACUCUAUAAAUGAAUGGAACAUUGGAACAUAAUUUCCCAUGUAGUGUUUCAUUAACACGACUCAUAUAUAUGCCGACUGUAAUAAGGAGAUUGCAAUCUUCAUUGUUUUGUGACCCUAACUUUCUCAGCAACAUUGACUGUUGGAUGAAGUACGUACUGGUCCUAAAUUUCAUAGUAAAGUCUAUCGUGUAAACUUCUCUCUAGCUAUUGUGUAUUAAAAUGCUUUUAGUUUGUUGAGGCCAAAAAAUCCAGCUAGCAGGCCCAAUUAAUUCGUUAAGCCCGAUUCAUGCUUUAAAUCGAAUUAUACUCGCAAACAUCAUGUCAUACAUGUGGACCUAAGUCACAUUCAUGCACUGGGGCUUUCAAGAAUGGGUGUGGUAUGGAAGGUAACAGAAAAACAUGAGAUCUGCUAUUAGUUUUAGGAUCAUUGGUAAUUUUAGACUUGAGACCGAAAUUCAUGCUUAACGACCUAAUUCCUAAUACGGAUAAAUGAAGAAGAGAGGCCUAAAAGCCAAACCCAAACCCUUUAAGAUCCAAAUAAAAAAUAAGCUUCUUAUUUCCAGCCACAUACUAAAAAAUGAGGCAAAAACAGCAACAAAAUCCCAGCUUUAGAUUUUCUGCGUGAAAGCUGCCCAAAGCCUACAAUCACAUCUUUCAAAACCUAUUCUGCAAUUACAUAGCCUUAGACACAAUCUAACAAACCAAAAAGACACUACAAAACCCAAUAUAUGCUUUUAACCAAGCCAUCCUUUUUACCCAACAGUAAAAACCUCAAACCAAGAUUCCUUAUAAAUAGCUGCUGUUAUCAACCAAAGACAACAACUAGAGAGGGUGCUAGCAAGCUCUCUAGCACUUUUCUUCUCCCAUGCUUCCUUAGUCUUCCGUCCAUCCCAAUUCACCUUAUGUCUAUCUCAACCCAUACACAAGUUGCCAGGAUCUCUUCUUCGUAAACUUAUGCUUUUUUUAGCUCCCACACCACACACAUCUUGCUAAGUCCUUCAUUGAAACAAAUGUAGUUGUUGAUCACCGUCGUUGAUGAAGAAACUGCCGUCAAGAAGAACAUAACAACAAGCUUUUGAGGAUUCUUAGUCCUUCAAAGUUUUCUGGGCCUAGUUUCCGCUAAUUCAGAUGAAGGGGACGACAUUUUUAGGCUUGGCCAUGCUUAUCUCACUAUCGUACACCCUUAAUCAAAAGUGCCCUCCAUAGAGUUUACAUAGCAGUAGCCGAAUAGCAAGCAAUGAUUUAUAGAUGAAUACCAUUUCAUUAUAUCUGGUCAGCUCCUUAGUCCUUAACGUAAAAGAAUAGUGCGCAAAAACUCAUACAACAUGUUCCUUUUGAAUUCUUACUUUCGCAACAGAAAUAUUUAUAGUUGGACUCCGGUGUCACAGAGACCGGCCGGAUGCAGGCUUCGGCUUAGACGAGUACGUGAUUUCAAAUUCCAGUGCCUCAACUUCCACAAUUUCUCGCAUAAUCCUUCUUUUAGAUGCCAAAUGUGACUCCUUAUAAGUGUGCCAUUUCCUACAUUCAAAGUUUCAAACAAAAUCCCACCUGAUAAGUUGGGCCUGAUCAAGUUGGGCCCGUGCUAUCAUCUUAUAAGGCGGGCUUGUUUAGCCCAAAGUCAGUACCGGAGCUUCACUCCAUCACCAUCAGUAAACCCAGAUCCCUCGCUCACCUCACUCCUUUCUUCUCACUCUGUCCGGAUAUGACGGCGACUCUGUGUCUCAAAGCCACUCGCUCCUUCCUAAACCCUCGCCCCUUCUCUCGCUCCCUCUCACCUCCCAAACCCCACCGCCACCUCCUCUCUUUCCCCAAAACCCUCGUCACCGUCACCAUGUCGUCAUCCCCCGUCGUCGUCGAGCACGUCGUCCUCUUCAACGUCAAACCCGACACCGACCCCUCCAAGGUCAACUCCAUGGUCAACGGCCUCAACAACCUCACCUCCCUCGAUCUCACCCUCCACCUCACCGCCGGUCCUCUCCUCCGCACCCGCUCCUCCCCCUUCGCCUUCACCCACCUCCUCCACAGCCGCUACAGCUCCAAAGACUCCCUCGCCGCCUACUCCGCCCACCCCGGUCACCUCAGCGUCGUCAAGGAGUCAGUUCUCCCGAUCUGCGAUGACGUCAUGGCCGUUGACUGGGUCGCCGACGGGCUGACUGGUCCGGUGGGGUUGGCCCCCGGGUCGGCGAUCCGGGUCACGUUUUUGAAGGUGAAGGAGGGCUUGGAUGAGGCGGCGAAGGGUGAGAUUUUGGAGGUGAUUAAAGGGAUUAAGGGGAAGUUUGGAGAGGUGGGGCAGAUUAGCGUUGGUGAGAACUUCUCCCCGGCAAGGGCUAAAGGGUAUUCGAUUGCGUCUGUGGCGGUUUUCAAGGGAGUGAGUGAGAUGGAGGCUGUGGAUUCGAAAGAGGAGCUUGCGAAGCUGGAGAAGGACAAGGUUAGGGAGUAUUUGGAGAGUGUUAUUGUUCUUGAUUACGUUGUUCCUUCGCCGCAAUCUGCUAGUCUCUGAAAUUUUUCGGAUUCGGGUAAUUCACAUUCUCCUUCCUGAAGUAGGAGUAAUGAGUAAUGUAAUUUAGUGUUGGUGAAAUAAGGUGUUACUGAGAAUUUGGCUGGAAUUUGGUUUCGGGUGUUGGAAAUUCUCAACACUCUGGCUAAACUGUAUCACAUUGAUGGUUGAUGCAUUUCUUCAAUUUCAAUUGCAUUCCUAAUUUGGUGAGAUGCGUUUGCUGAUGUUUGAAACCUUCCUUCCAUUAUUGUACAUUUAUAGACAUCGAUUAUGUUGUUAGACUUAGGUGCCUCAGGGUUUGCUCUCUUGGUAUGAAAGUUGCAUAAGGUCAUAUGACAUAGUUUCAGAUACCGUCAGUAAGGAUACAGGGUGGUGCAAGAGCAUAUGCCCCUAUAAAGAAGGCUAAACUAAUAUUUAGACUCUGAAAGUGACACUUUUCAUCAAUGUACUUUGGUUUCUUGCACUGUGGGCUUCAUCCAUCAACUAUACAUGGCUGAUGUAGCUUGUGACUUUGUGAGCACCCUGUUUAGGCUUCUUUACAGCUCUGUUCAGUUAAAUUUUUGCGCAGUGUGCGUUAUAUUGGGGUGAGGUUAUGGUGCAUUGUUUCAUACAAUAGGGAGGUGCCGAGGUGGUUCGGUUAAACCCAACAUGAUAAUGAAGGCAAUCAAAAGGUUAAAUCGUUUUUGAUUUUGCUGUGUUUUGUCAUGAAUCAUUCUCGAAAAUAGACGGACAAGAAUGACGGUUUCUGUGUCCUGAUUUACGCUGAGAAUCACCUUCUUCUAUGCCCUAAGGUAAGGGAAGUUAACUCCACUAUCAUGGUUUUGGAAGAGUGGGGAUGAACUAUUCUCGUCCGUUCUAUCUCCCUGCAUACUUUGCUUGCAACCAUUCUCGUACUAGCUACAACCAUCUACGAGUACAUUGGUCGUUUUGCCGCCUCCAUUGUCACCAUUCAUGGCUGAACUGAAAGCCAGUUAGACAAGCACACUUAACUUGGGCCUGGACUUGUCCAUGAUGAAUUCCGAUGUCAAGAGACUAAGAAGAUGGACAAAUAAAGAUAAAGAUGGUCAGUAAAUUUGUAUCCUCCCGCCUACCGCCAUCUCUAUAAGUAAACCCAGGUCACUACUCACUAAACCCACUCGCCAGUACUCCAAGCUCAUUUGAUUUCUCACUCUCUCACCUCCAAACCCCACCGCACUUUCGCAUCAGCAUGUCGUCGUCGUCGGCCGCCCAAUCCGUCGUCGAGCACAUAGUCCUCUUCAAGCUGAAAGACAACACCGACCCCUCCAAGGUCAACGCCUGGGUCGACGGCCUCAACGCCCUGAGCUCACUCGGCCUCACCCUCCACCUAACCGCCGGCGCCCUCCUCCGCAUCCGAUCCUCCCCCUUCGCCUUCACCCACCUCCUCCACAGCCGCUACAAAUCCAAGGACGACCUCGCCGCCUAUGCCGUCCAUCCCACCCACAUCAGCGUCGUCAAGGAAGGCCUCCCGUUUUGCGAUGACAUCAUGGCCGUUGACUGGAUUGCGGAUGGGCUGACAGGCCCGGUGGGCCUCUCUCCGGCAUCCGCGAUCCGCGUCACGGUUUUGAAGCUGAAGGAGUUGGGGGAGGCGGCAAAAGGUGAGGUUUUGGAGGCGAUUAAAGGGAUCAAGGGGAAGUUCGGCGAGGUGGGUCAGGUCACAAUCGGAGAGAACUUCUCGCCGGGCAGAGCCAAAGGGUAUUCGAUUGCGUCGGUGGCGGUUUUUAAGGGAGUGAAGGAGAUGGAGGAGGUGGAUUCCAAGGAGGAGCUGGCAAAGCCUGAGAAGGACAAGGUAACGGAGUAUUUGGAUAACGUGAUUGUUGUUGAUUAUGUGGUUCCGUCACCGCAAUCUGCAAGUGUCUGAACAUGUAUUAUCGGAUUCCGGUCAUUCAAAUUAUGCUUUGAAAUAAGGUUAUGCAAUUAUCAUGGUACACUCUUGUUUGUAUAUUACCAAUGUACACUCCUGUUUGUAUGUAUCAGCUAUGAAGUAUCAUAUUGUGAAGAAUUUGUUUGAUUCCCUCCCUCCAUUAACACGAGAGUUCGACUGCUCUCUGGGUCAAAUAAGUUGAUUACUCUGUCUUGACAUGUCUAUGGAUGUUACAAAAAAAGAUUGUGAUAGAGAUGCGUGAGGCCUGAUCAUAAUUUCGAGUUAAUCAUCCUCUUUGUGUCACCGUAGCCAUCUGUCAAACAAUGUGUGCGUUAUAUACCCAACUGAAGCUAGCCAUAACAACAAUGUGCACAUUAUUUUUUUUAUUUUUUAUGCUAAAGCGACUAAAUUAUAAAGAAGAACUUUUAUAGCAACUAGCUUCAAAGAUGUCAAAAUUCAAAACAUGUCUAACAGUAACAGGAAAGUUGACCUCUCAACAACUAGGAUUUCCCAAAAAUGUGCAUAUUACUUGCUUAACAGUUAACACACACUAAUUCACUUGUACAUCAUUUUCUCGUUUAAUUUGAAGAGUGGAACCUUACCUUGAGAAAGUGUCAACAUUUCGGAAGAUUAUAUACCCAUUUCAACCAAUAGCAACAUCCAUAGAUCCGUCCCCUAAAAUUCAGAGGAUACAACAAGAGAGAAAAGCAAAUUUUGUAUAUAUGGAGAGGUAGAGGUCAUCACCACAGCACAUUUGUUCAAACUACAACACUUUUGGCAUUGCCAUCCAGCCAUAUAUGGAAUUGAAUCACAUGGUUUAUAUGGGAUUUUGAUGCCGACAAGUCUUCAGUCUUCACCGCCGGUGUGGACGGCUUAGAAGGUUAUAUCUUUAUCAAAGCCAAGAACAAAUGUGUUCUUGUUAGGAAGAUUAUAUGUUUCUGAUCAUAGAAUAAUACAAGUCCGAUAAAAGACGAAGACAUGGGGCAAGUGCUGUAUGUAUUAUUCAUCGAUCAUAAACAUAUAUAGAAAAAGAAGAACAAUCAAAUACGUAUUUGUAGAAGUAGUACGUGGUCCUGUAGCAGAUAUUGUUAGGUGCAGUAUGUGGCCUUCGAUCAACAGUGGGAGCUGGCCUCUGAAAAUAAUGCACAAUAUAGUGUAUGUACUACAUUUAUGUUUGAUCUGUAGCUGAUGUUGCUAGGUGCUGAAACAGGUGCAGCAUGUACUACAAUACUCCUAUAUUAUCUAUAUAUAGUUAUGCAUCUGCUGUCUGCACAUCUACUUUAGGGUUUCGUACUUUAUGCUGUAGUAGUCGAUAAGGACUUCAACAUCCACAUCUUACAUUGUGUUUGAUGACUUGAUCUAACUUCUUCACUUCUACUCAACUUACUAAGUAACAAGAAAGAAAAAGAAAGAGAGAGGGCGAGAGAUAGAGAUGAAAAUCUCAAAACACUGCUAACAAACAAGAGGUAAAAAAGGGAGCAUGGUCUGCUGAGGAAGAUGAAGUCCUCAUUCACUACAUAGAAACACUGAAACACAUAGAAGGCAAAUGGCCAGCAUUGAUCAAAUACUGCUCGUAUUUAUGGAUCUCAAUCACUGUACCUAGUGGCCGGCUACUGGUUUAGACCAAUAGUGUGUUGCCUUUUCGUUCAAGGAACACUAUAUUCCACUUCCAUGCAAGCUUUGCCUGCAUAUAAUGACUUACAGUUUUCUGCAGUAUGUCUAUAAUUUUCAGGCUCUACUGGUGAUCAAGUGGUUCCAUAGAUAAACAGGAGGGGCCGAAUACGUAUAGGUAAAUUCACAACCACCACCGGUGGCGGAUCUAGGAAUUAGUUUUCAUCUAGGCUAGUUUAUACCCUUAUAUGCGAUUUUUUUUUUUUGACAAUGUUGUUUCCAUGUCAAAAAGCUAUUUCAAGGAGCAUAAUAUAUAAUGUCCUCAAAAACCUAUUUUUCUUAAGAUAGGGGGAAGAAAAUAAGAAAUAGUAAUGGAAAAUAGGAAAUUAUUGUAGGAAAGAUAAAAGAAAACAAAGAAGAAAUGUAGAAAGAGGAGGAAGAUCGAACCCAGGCCAAAGCAAAGAAGAAAAUGUAGAAAAAAUAGGAAGGGGAAAACUGGUAUUCGAACCUAGGUCAGGAAGGGAGAUGAAAGUUUUGAACCUAGGUCAAGAAGGGAGAUGAAAGUUUUAACCGAGCCGGCCAUUUGCCAACUGAACUAUCUUGGAUAUUGGUUCACUAUACACAGGUAAUGGUAUAUAUCCAAAUAUUUUGUCUAAACUUCAGCCCAUAUAGCUUUUCAAGUAGAUCCGCCCUGACCACCACACGUAGAGUGUGUUGCAGCGGCGCAGCUAAUUUGCCAGCAUGAAAAAUUCAAUACAUCGCGGACCAAUCAAUGUGUUUUCCGAUCUCUCAGACUCUCUAUAUAGUAUAUAGUGACUCAACAAUCUCCUCAACUCUCUACGGGUGGCUAGGGAUCGAUUUCUUGUAUCUGUUCUGCAAAAAAGGAUAAGGAAAUUGUCCAAAAACAUUAAGACUCGACAUAAAAGCAAACCUAACCUUGCAUGGAGAGUCGACAAACAUGAGUCAUGAGAUUGAGACACAAGAGAUAGAAGCAUACCCACUCUAGGACAGGAGACCUAUUAUGGAAAUUAAAAAGACAGAGACAUCGUUUGUUUGCUAUUUGCCAAAUUGGGCUAUCCUUUCCUUUCGUUUUCGUUUCUUGAAGAGUGUACCUAGAAAUAAAGAAUAUGCAUAUGGAAAAUACCACUAUGUCGAGCAACAAGUUCAGACCGACCAAGUAUAAAAACAAGAGAUAUGUACGGCUCCAAGCUUUUCAAAUGGAGUGAAUAUAUAUGAUUCGUCCAAAUAUUGAUGAUUUAAGGAGGUGUAUACCAAAAUUAUGUUAAGAGUUAACACUUAUGAAUUUGAGACUUGGAGGACUAGCUAUUUCAAUGGAAAUACAUAGACAUGCAUGUUAUACCGUAUAUUAUACGUCUAAAAUGGAUAUGUGUAAUCUCAUGCAUACAUACAUGUAUGUACAGUAUGCUGUAUAGUUUUACGUAUUCGUUUGUCUGGACAAUGUGAGAUUACUUGCACCAGUGCACCACAGACAAUUAGAGGAGCUCUCUCUAGCUAGCAACGAAAAUACAGACUUCUUAAAAGAAAAUUUUGCACAUAUUUGUUUAUUAUGGUCUAUAUCUGCAUUAGUGCAUAUAUAUUUUUAUAUAUUUCAAGUGGUCCUAGAAGUAGCGUAUGUAGGUAGCCGAUCUUCAUUGGCAUAGUGUCAAAUGUGGCCGUGUGGAAGCCAAACCGAAAUUCAAAGGCACAUUCAUAACAAUGUAUUAUAUACAUGUAUUUAUACAGACGUAUAUAUGUAUGUCUCUCCAGUCCCCAAAUCUGCAGUAGUAGUCUCUACUAGUUGAAGCCCUCCAAAUAUCCAGAGAGAUGGGGAGAAAGCCAUGCUCUAACGAAAACAGUGUAAACAGGGGAGUCUGGUCUGCUGAGGAAGAUGAAGCCCUUAAACGAUACAUAAGAACUCAUGGACCAUGUAAAUGGAAAGAAGUUUCUCGUCGAGCUGGUGCGUAAUACAUUUGGUAUAUGUAUACUAAUUAAAAUCCUUUCAUUUAGUAGUACUACACAUAUAUCAAACAUAAAAUCCUUUCAUUUUUCUUUAUUUACCUGCUUAGAAUGUGUGUGUAGAAUUAAACCGUUGCCCGAAGAGUUGCAGACUGCGAUGGCGGAAUUAUCUGAGGCCUGGUAUUAAGAGAGGAAACAUUUCUGAGGAUGAAGAAGACCUCAUUCUCAGAAUGCACAAGCUUCUCGGAAAUAGGUACCGGUAUAUAAUAGUUUGUAUAUAUAGUAAACUACUCUUACUCUCAAGAUCUGAAACCUAACAAUGAGCAGGUGUGUACUAAUAUGAUAUGUUAGCAAAUGAAAUAGAAUGAAGUUUAUGUCGAUGUUUUGAAUCAAUAGGUGGUCUCUCAUAGCCGGAAGAUUACCAGGACGAACAGACAAUGAAAUAAAGAACCACUGGAUUUGUAAUUUGAGUAAGAGAUUCUUGGAGAAAGCUCCGCCAGACAACCAAAUUAUCAAGGCUCAUGACAAUUUUCAUCGUCCUCGCGGUGAAUCCAGUAACUGUAAUUUCAAAGAAGUUGAGGAUGUUUCUGGCACUGAAGAUCAAGAGAAAGCAGUCCCAUCUAAAAGUACUACAAUAACUGAAAAUUUACCACCAUCUUCUUCUUUAGUAGUUUCUGAUCAGCUUCCAGAACCAAAGGAUUCUUCUGCUACUUUUCUAGUGGAUCUUGAAAUGUACCUGAAUGAUCAUGACCUCCAAAAUAGUACAGAUAUCGACCAUGAUUUGCACCUAGCAGAAUGGAUCAAUCUAUUAAGUGGAGAUGACGGUGAUUUGCACCAAGAAGAAUUGGGUACAGAAUUCAUCAGUUUUCUGGCAGAUGGAACUCAGGAGCUUCAAGCAGAUUGGGAUCAAUUCAUGGAAGAAGCUUUGUUAUCAUCACCAUCAUGACGACCGAUUGAUGCAGAUCCAUGUGGAUCUCAAUGCCUUCAGCAUUUCUGAAUUCUGUAAUUCAAAACUCCUUCUUUAAUUAGUUCGACAUGCAUGCCCUUGAACGGGUACUAUAUAAUUCUUCCUUCGAGGUAAAGUUGUUUGCUUGUAAUUUAUGCUUAAUUUCCUCUUGAUUAAAUGAAUAACUAUGGUUUUUCCAUUUAAUAAAGUUUUUUUUUCGUUACAUAUAAAGUUUGGUGAGACUAUUAUCAAAUACCAGAUAUUUUAAUUUACAUCAGGACCUAUUAUAUAAACCCUCGAGAGCACAUAUAGAUGAAGUAACCUGUCUACAAUAUGCAAUCGCCCAUUAAUUGGUUGGUGUCGUUUUAAUUUGCCGAUGAACUAUAUAUGUUCUUGUCCAUUCCAUUUUUAUGCAAGUUUUUCUUAUUACAAUGAUUGAAAACGGUAGGGAGAGAUAGAUCGACAUUAUAUUGAAACAGAAAAUAACAAGCUACACAUAUGAAUGUGCUGUACGAUCCCUUUCAGACCUUUCCCAGACUAGUGGUCCUUUUGUUCUUCCAUCAAUAUGAGAAGGGGAUCAGACUAGCUUCUUAAGCUCUUGAUUUGCACAUGUCUGCAGAUAUUGCAGAGAGAGCGAGGGACGUGCUCCAUCCAUCUUCUUAAAGAUGCACUCGUCGCACGCUACCAUUGUUUAGAGUACGUUACUCAUCUCAUUAUACAUGCGUAAAGCUUAAAGUUUUCACAUAUAAUUCAAUAAUAUGAGUCGUUUACAGCUUAAUUUGGUUCAAUACUUUGAGCAAAUCAAGAAUUAAUUCUACGUUGUCAUUAUACUUCUUAUCGCUCUGUCCUACUGGUUGCAGUUGAAUUUAGAUCUUGCUCACCCUUUGGUGGCAUGGGUAUCUCGAUGCCGAUAAAAAUCAUUUGUGCUUCAUUGAUAGAAUCUUCCACUUGAUCACUAAAGAACAAGUUUGCAAUAAUUAAGACUUCAGCUAGUACUACUGGUUUACAUUAUCUUGUUUUAUAAUUUUUGCUAUAAACACAUUGUUUCCAGUAAUUGAACAAAAAGUUUGCUCCGUUUAAUUUUCUCCAAUAUCUUAUCAAACUAUACAUUAUAUUUCUAUAUCUCAUUUUCUCUUUAGGAUUGAGUAUGUAAACAAAAAAUUCAUGGUCUACAUUAUACAAUGCCCAAUAACUAUUAAUAGACUGUUUGUGGAUGACCUGAAUGAAACUAAAAAGGUCAUGCAUGCAUAUUUUGAUCAUAAAACGAACAAUGAAUUGAAUGACACUACAAGUCAUCCAUAUUUUGUUUCAUGUCAUCAUAACACUUCCUCGUCACUGACAACCAGUAAUAGAUUAAGAUUUAAUUUCAACGAGCUUCAAUGAGAGUCGAUCUUGCGUGUAUGAUCGAGUUCCAUACCUAAGGACAAUUCUAGGAUGAGUAUUCUUGACCGUUGGAUAUAAUAAAACUUUUGAAUAUAUCUAACGGUUUAGAUUAUUCAAUAUUGAUAACUUAUUUACUAGGUAGCAUGUAAUUUUAUAACUUAUAUAUGAAAAAUAUAAUCAAAAACAAAAACAUAAUUUAGAAAACCCUACCUUAGAAACAGAUCGAUGAAGAAGUCCGUUCCGUUUCGUUCCUCUACCGAUUUGCACCGAUUUGCUAAGAUAAAACCUAAAGUGAAGGAAGGAGAAAGAGGUUGGUCUUCACCUCUUUCAUCCAUUCAUCUCUAGUUCUCCACCUCAGAAGAUUAUCCUCUUUGAAGAGUUUAAGGUAUGAAUCAGAAGAUUCUCCUCAAUUUGAAGAGUUUAAGGUAUGAAUUAGUUGUUGGGUGUUUGAGUUUUUGUUUAGAAUCAAUUUGAUAUCAGUUUAGUUCGAUGAUAAUUGGGUAUGGGUUUUUGCUAUCAGAAAGCUGCUAAAUCAUGCUGUGGGUAUUUAAUUGAUAAUUUGGUGUGUUACUUGUACUGAUUCCACUGGUCUUCGUGCAUUACUUGGUGUGUUAUUUGAUAAUAUGGUUGAAUCAAAAUGCUUAAAAUUUGAUGCCCACCACCUGUUCGAUCAAAUGCUUCAGUCAGUUUCUAUGGUAUACAAUUAAAAACAUCGGUCUGUUUUCUUCUAUGUCAUAAUGAAUUGUCUUGAUUUUCCUGUUUAUGAAGUCUUAAUCGAUUAAAGCUUUUAGUUAUAGAGUUUGUUUCCAUCUCUCUGCAAAAUAACAAGAAUGGUUGCUCCCACUAGACUGUACAACUCAAUUGAUUAGUCAUCUGGUCUCAGAGUUAAUAUUCAUUCCAAUGUUAAUAAAAUGUUAAUAAUCCAUAAUCCUUUGUUAGCAUUAUCAAUAGGCGUAACAGAGUUGCAUCCCAAAUGGAUUGGUGUUGAACACAGGCAUUCAUAUAUUGUGACUAAACCUGGAAAUGGGAGCAUUCAUUUAUUCAUUCCAAACAAAAUUCCUACACUAGGACGCUAUUCUAUCAUUCCAUAGCAAAUUUACACUACCAGUUUCCUUAUGUCUGGUCUCAAUAAAAUCAGGUAAACUGUGUCCCCCUGUUAACAACAGACUUUAAACGUGAACAAUACUGUGGGAUCUUAAUCAGACUAUUUUUCGAUUUGUAGGAUUUGUAGAACCCAGCAGAAGAACAAAGACAUCUAUGGUGUAUAUGUACAAUACCAUUGCAGUGAUAUUAUAUACACAUGCAUUACUUAUGCUUAGUUUAUAGUGGAAGAACUGAGACACUCUUUCAUCAUCUCCUGAAUCCUUCUCUUCAUCAGCUUAUCUUCAACACCUUCAAGCAUAUUUUAAUAGAAUUUUUCCAACCUUCACCCGAUCUGCUGACUCUAACAUUCUGUCCCAUUCCCUUCUUUUAUCAUGAAUUUUGUUUCGAGUUAAUGUUUGUGGAGUUGGUAAGUUUUUGGUUGGCAUUUGGUUUAUGCAGUAAAUGUCGUUUGAUGUCUUCAGUCAAUUUUAUUGGUAAAGUUAUAAUCUGAUAAUGCAUUUUCAUUUUUCCUCUAUUAAUGUGCUCAUAGAUGUCCUUUUCUGGUCAUCUUGGUCUGCAGCUUGCUUCAUUUGAGAAGGUUAAGGAAGUAGAGGAGUUCUUCAAAGCCUAUCCUAACCCUGCCAUAACUAGAACCUUGAAGCAAAGCAUUGAGCGUGUGUAGAUUAACGCCAGGUGGUUGAAUGUUCAGGGUGAGAAAGAUCUUCCCAAGGUUUUGAAAGAGUUGCCUUCCAGCAAAUACUAGCCUUCCAUACUUGGCUGCAUCUAUUUGUUAUGAAAGAAUAAUUAGAAAGGAUUUUGCACCUGAAAGUCCGAAACUUGAUAUGCCAGUUUGAUUUCUUAUAUGAUCGGAUAAAUAGGAGUGCAGCCAGAAUGAUAUAAAUGGCUUUCUCUGUCAUUAAGAGUGAUGAACGAAUGCUAUUUUAUUAAAAUAGAAUUUUGUAAGAUUGAGAUAAAACUUCAGCUACUUUAUUAACAGUGAGAGCAAGAUUGAGAUAAAACUUCAGCUACUCACCGGAAAGGCUGAAGACAACGACAAUUUUGUAAUCAAUCUCAGAUUUGAUCCUUCACUUUGUUGACUUUAGACCAAAAUCGAAUAGAUUAGGAUCAUGAUUAUGCAGUCAUUCACGGCAGCCCUCAAGGACGUGGUGGCUGCGGCAACCAAGGAGGUCUUGUAACGGCGGCGAUCAGGAAGGUCAUAACGACAUCGAUCAUGACGGUCAUGAUUGCUGAGAUUAGGAGGCUUCGAUGAGGCCGGUUGAUGACGGUCGAGGUCGAUUGACGGUGGCUGAGGUCGGUUGAUGAAGGUUGAAGAAGAAGUUAGAAGUCUCUUUUCUUUUUCAAUGAGCUCGAAGAUUAGGGACAUUGCUCAUAUCCAGGAGGAUAAAAUUUAUCUCACCUAUCUAACAAGAUUUUAAAUGAAGGUCUGACAAGAAAAAAGAUUUCUGGUUGCGUCAUAUCAGGGUGUGCAAACACAACAACUCGUCAGAUAGGAUAUAAUUCAUCCUAUCUGUGUAUUAUAUCAUCGCAAACAAACAGCUCCUAAGUGUAAAACUAUAGGAAAGUGUAAUUUGGAUCCAUACAGUUAGGGUUUAGGGUUUAGGAAUAUAGUAUUUGUCAAAAUAGUUGUCUCUCAACCGAAUAUCUCUACAAUCGAUCAAUUAGAAGUUAAAGGGUAACACUUGAAAAUGUAAUGUGGAUCCAAACUAUAGUGUUUUUAGAUAGGGCUAUACGGUUUACGGUUUAAAGAAAGAAAAAAAGAAAUACAAAGUCAAUCAAAUUUUAUUUUAUAAGUUAGACAAAUAUAUAUACCAAUAAAAUAACAUAUGUGUUGUUAUACAAGUAAAAUGUUAUUAAUAUGAGUAAAUUCACUAAAUUGUCGUUGAGACUCUUAUGAUGUAAGGAUGAUGUUUAUAUUGUAAAUCAUGUCAUUUAAGAAGUUUUAAGUUAUGUGACGACGUUUUUACAUCGUUUAUCAACAAUUGAGCUGAAAGUAGUAAUUAACGUCGAUUUCAUGGUAGUUCUUUGUAUGAGAACCAUUUGAUUCAUAAGUCGACAAAUUGUUGAAAAAGUAGUAAUCAAGCUUGUAUUUGUAGUAAUUUUUCAAUUACAAGUUCGAGAACUAUUUUACCAAUCUGACAACAAAUUGUCGUAAUAGUGAUAAACUGAUGUACAUAUGGUAAAUAAGUUGUUUGUGUAAUAAAGUCUUUUAUCUAGUAAUUAAUACCUUACUUUAUGUAAAUUUUGUUGUGAUUGAGAUAAUUACUUAUAAUACAACGUGUUUUACUAUAAAUUACAACAACUAAGGUAGAACUGGUAAAUAUAGUCGUAUUCUUGAUAUUACUUGGAAUACGAUCAUUUUUACGAAAAUAACGAUAAAUUUAUCUCUAGUGACAACAAAUAUUGUAAAUAUUAAUAAUCAUACAUAAAUUAUCUGAAGUCGUUAAUCUUGUAAAAUAGUUCUUUUUUAUGUAAUUAUGGUCAUUUUUUAAGUAAAUUACACCAUUCCUUAUAUCUUUACUACAAAUACCAUAUUUAACGUAUUUAGUGGUAAACUAAGUAAUUACAACAUUUACGACCCUCAUUACAAGUUUUUGAACAAUUCUAGUAUAACAUAAUUAAAAGGUCCUUAAAAUUGUAAUUUUUUUACACAUAUCAUAAUAUUACUGGACGACAUGUUUACCUGUACAACAAGUUGUUCAUUUAUAUAUAUUAUUUUCAAAUAGUUGAUGCAUAGCAUGCAUCAACUCACCCUAGCAUUCCCCCAUACCUAGAGGCUCUUAUAAAGUUACUGUUGAUCGAUGUGGCCGGCCUGAUUCCAUUCUCAUUAAUUUGCACGUUGUUCAAGUUAACAAAGCACGGCAUGAGCUUUGACGGAAUUAAAAUGCUUAUUGGAACUACGUCGAUCUAUAAUUCAAACAUCCUGGAAAUAAGAAUGAACGUCUAGUAGAAACCUAGAAAUAAAGUUUGGAAGAUGAAAUGAAAAUGGUUUUGAUGUCUAGGUCCAUUUCUUAAUUUUGUGUUGAUAAUCGACUUGUGCUGAAGUUUGGAAUCUGAAAUGAAAAUGGUUUUGAUGUCUAGAUCCAUUUGUUUUGUGUUGAUAAUCGACUUGUGCUGAAGUUUUGGAAUCUGAAAUGAAAAUGUUUUUGAUGUCUAGUACUUUCUGUAUUUUAUGGCAUUGCUGAUUCUGUUUACAAAAAAUUUUUUGUCUGGUUUAAACUUUGAGAGAAAGAGUUGUGAUUUUCUAUUUACAAUAUGGAGUUAGCAUUUAGAUGAAGAGGCCACAGACCAAAAACUCCCAUUUUGGCUGUCUAUAUUUUGUAUAAGUAUUUGAACUAGAGCACAAGAUACGACUGUUAUAACUAUUGCUCCGUUCUAGAGUAGCUUUAACAUGCAGUUGAAAGCCUGAAAUCAAAUGUUAUUGCCUCUGCCCUUUGAUGUAGUUCUAUGCUGUGCUGUUGUAGGUAAGAAUCAGGAUUGCUACUUGUUAGAUAUAAUGUCAAGUGAACUAGGAUCUUUUGCGUCGAUAACUGACUUCGGCUUAAGUUCAGAACUUGAAAUGCAAUCAACAUGUUUCUGAUGUCUAGUUUCUGUGUUGUGUGGCGUUGCUAUUCCUGUUUACAAUUGUUCGUCCAGUUUUAUCUUUGGAGAGAAAGAUUUGAAUGGUAUUCCAUCAAAAUGAAACAGCCACAGAGCUUAUGACAGGUUAUUUUGGCCAACAGCUACGAGGCAUGAGCUUAUGAUGCAGUCUAUUUUCACCGCCAUUAUAGCUUCCUCACUUCCUCAGACACAGAGAUGAUUCUCUAUGUUAAUUAGGGUAAGGGUUAGGUUUGGUAAUGAGUAUGAAUGUGACAGAUACCAAACAGCUACGAGGCAUGAGUCGACAAUGCAGAAGAAUUGCAGGCUCGUCGAUCGGGAGCAAGCAAAUAUGUAAUUUGAUUCAUAUAUAUUGACCAAAAGAGUAUAUAUUCAAUGCCAGAGUCAAUGAAGGUUCAUAAGACAUAUUGCAGACUUGCAGUCAUGCAUAUAUACCUUCCUAGUUUUUAAGGUAAGCAAUUAACCUAAAGUAUAUGUUACAAACUAAUCGGUUUGAUUUUGCAAAUAUACUUGAUGUCACAGAUGACUGAUUACUUCACAGUAUCUCAAACAGGUAUGAAUAUUCGUGUUUGAACUAAUAAAUUUCAAAGAUGCAAAGUGAUCACCACCGGCUUCAAUCCUCUCAUUAUUUCUCAUACAAUGACAUUUCUUGACCAUGAUUUUGGUUCUAGAAUCAAAUAAACUACACGUUGAAAGAAAGACACGUAUUGUUAUAUAAAAUUAGAAGAUGAUUUUGACACCUUAACCAUUUUACUUAAUUAAUUGACUUUGGCCUAUUAUUUUAGAUCUAACAGAAAAGUGAAGCACUUUUAACAUUUUUUUGUUGGAUGUAGAAGUACUUUUUAAUAUUUUAAUAUGUUAUUUUGUUAUUUUACAUUUUUAUUGUGUCAAGUUACCCAAAAAUUUUCUAAAACUUGGCACGUGAAAUGUUUUAACUAUGCAUUACAACAUAAUUGCUAACAGCUUUACACCAAUCAUCUCUUGUUCUUCAACAAAAUGUUAAGUUUCAUACUCCAAUCCAAACAAAAAAGAAAAUAGAACAUACUUGAUCUUUUUGCUCUGUUUAUAGUCGUGCCAUUAUGGAAGCACCUGAUGGCCUUUGACAAAUCUUGGAUAACAACAUGAAAGCGAGAAGGUUAAUUUGGAUCCACAUAGCAGACAGCCAGACACCAUGCCAUUUAAGCAACUAUGAUUCAUCUAAGGUUAAGAAAGGAAAAAUAAUAAGUAUAUUUUUGAUGUACGCUUUUACUACAUCUAAUAAGGUUUGGAUCUGGUAAUAAUAUACCAACUACUUACUUAAUUACUACUCUAAUAGAUCAACAACCCCUUGACAAUUUACAUCGAUUAAUGACUUUCCAUUUUCGUCUACUUAUAUCACUAAUCAUUUCACACUUUAGCUACCUAAACACAGAGUCUAGAACAUGCUUAUGAUUUGUGCUUUCUCUUCUGAUGCUUUUUUCCAUGAGGAUCCAGAAUUAGUGUGCUUGCUAGGAAAAAGCAGCCACCCUAGCUGGGACAGAAAUAUGCACAAAACAAAUAGAAUGAUCUGUAAGUGGAACUAGCUAAGACAAUUUGUUAAAACUAUGACAAAAGUAACCCGUAACAAGCGAUUAAUAGGAAACUUUGAUUUUUCCAAUUCUAUGAAAACACAGUACGUUUUACUGCUACAAGCAAUUAGUUAACUCCAGACGACAGUGAUCCAGUACGCUAAUAUACAUACAUAUUAAGAAGGCCGGAAGCUUCUUAUCGGAAAAGUCGGAUCUUGAGCUGUUUUGGAAAAUCACCGGUGACGAAAACUAUGUCAAAUCUGUCCAAAACAGUAUGUGCAUCAAACUUGAACUGUUCCUUCAUUAAAAUGGGACAUCGAUCGAGAUACAGUUUGUAGUUUAUACUUCAAGAAAUGAAACUAGCUGCUUCAUCCCUGUAAUAUUAAAGGAAAAUCUGCAUUCAUGUUGCUGAUAUGCAUUUAUCUGGAGUUGGCAUCCAAAUAUGUGAUAAGAUUGAUUUGUGGAUCUAAACACAAUCAGCAUUAAGGCUAGAGAGAUUUUAGCUCUACUGAUCUUGUAUAUAAUUAUAGUACUUAGCCUUGUACAGUUGAUAGACUAUUGCAAUUAUACAGAAAUUCAUCUUCACCAUCAUUUUGUUUAUUUAAUGAUUAUAACAAAGAGAAAAACGUAAUGCAAUAUAUGGAGGGUCGUUAUCGAUGGAGACAUGCACGGACGUAAUAGAGUGAUCGAUCAUGGAUGCUCUAGUUCAGAAAAAGAAAAAAAGGACUUGAUGAUUACUUUCAUGACGUUGAUAGUAGGUAUGACCCUCUCAUCUUCAUCCCGUAAAAAAACAAAACAGGAAAAUAGAGAGGAAGAAGAAGAAGUAAUAUGUGAAAUAGAUAGAAGAUGAUCGAGGCGGCCGCAGCCUAACAAACUUUCAAGGGUCGACUCUCUUAGAAUGUUAGUUCAAGGGUAGUAGAGGAAGCUUAUGCAACAUGCAGAGAGUUUAAUUCAAAUAAGAAAAAGAUCGAUCGUAUACUAAUGUAUAUAUAUUUUGCUACAGAUGGAGAUUUUGUUCAUGUACGCCCAAAGAAGAAAGUGUAAUCAAUUUGUUAUGUGAUACUAUAUAUCUUCUAACUAGUCAAUUCAUAGCUAAAAUGAAAAUGACUUGGUUGACCAAUGACAAGUAUAUUGAAUAUUUGCUCUACUUUCAUCUACCAAUCUACAACAUAAAAUCAUGUGUUUAUCAAUCAUUCAUAAAAUAAUACUGCCAUGAAGAUUUUGCCUCAGAACCUUCCAUACUCCAAAAUCUUAAAAACGAAAUCAUGCAAUUAUAUGAAUCUACCGACUAUCCCUUAAAGACAGUAUGGAACGUUAUUAAUUUGUGGGAAGAAAUAAUGCUUUCUAGCUUGUUAUUAUAUUUAAGUGAUCAGUGAUGAAACAACGUGCAUCAGCUCAGGCAAAUAAGUUAAAUCAUGUAAUAAACAAAACAAAAAUGCUUUUCGCAUGAUAGGAAAUUGGAAGAACAUACAUGCAUUCGAUCAGAAUCAAAUAUUCGAUAGAAUGGUGAGAAGAAAAGUAUAACAACAUUUGUGACUAGUAGUUAACCAUAGCAUAAUAUAACCGUUCAUAGAUUAUAAUCUUGAUCAUCAUUCUUGUAGCUCACCCUUUUGUAUUGGAGAGAUAUGAAUUAUAAUGAGGUUUCGAAUAUCCUUAUUAUUUGACUUUGUAAACAUUAGUUAUCUUAAAGAAACUUCUUAAUGUAACUUCUUUCUCUUUAUAAUGAGGUUUCGAAUAUCCUUAUUAUUUGACUUUGUAAACAUUAGUUAUCUUAAAGAAACUUCUUAAUGUAACUUCUUUCUCUUUUUAAACGAUAGAUUAUAAAUAUGUAACCAUUUGGUAAGGUUGAGAUUGAUUAAAUUUGUAAGACUAUAAAUUAAUUAUAAUUAGUUAACUACCAAAUGAUCUGAAAGAUCGAUAUAGAAUUUCUUAUUUAAAAAAAAAAACAAGAAGAAAAAAAAAUACUUCAAGAUCAACAAUAUUCAAAAAGUCCAUUUAAGGUUUGAGAUUGACAUCUUAUUUAUCAUAAACCACAAAAAGUCCAUUUAAGGUUUGAGAUUGACAUCUUAUUUAUCAUAAACCACACUCAUUCAGUCAUUCAUGAAUAAUUUUUCAAUAUAAAGUUAGAGGUGUACGUUUGUCAGCAAAGAGGUGUGCCAAUUUCACCCCAUUUUAUGUAGCUAUACACGGAGCUUGAAGUGGCCAUAGGGUGAUCACCAUAUUACACACGCUAUUAUUAGAUGUGUCUAUCACUACACAUGUAAUACUUGAUUUAGCUAUUUGGACCGAAUUGAUGGUGAUCAACACACUAAUUGUGUGGCACAUCAUGCAUUCUAGCUACUGCUCCUAGCUAACAUAACUCUUCGGUAUUCUGGUCUCAAAUAUGGAAAGAGUUCGAGUUAAGCAUACCACCAUAUAUACAUAUCAUAUGCAAUCUCUAGUGGGAAACCAUUUUCCACCUUGGUUUUGCUCUUGAUUAUGCUUCGAUCAUUUUAUCAAUCCCAACUACUAGCUUGUAAUAAGAGUGAAAUAUAUGUUUUUAAAAAAAAAUUUUAAAUAGUGAAUCAUCACUAACUUAAUUAAUUAACUUACAGAUGCUCUUGUUUCGGUCGGUCACUCUGUUUAAUUUUUCACCUGAAGUGUUGAUUUGAUGGGUUUCCUCUCAGGCUUAAAUGACCCUUAUUCUUAAUUACUCUUGUCAGUCUUGUGUUAGGCGCUUUAAAGCCAACUUGUUGUAAUUUAUUCUGGGUUUAUUUUUCUUCUAAAAAAAACUUAAUUAAUUGAUAAGAUGGCCAGGGGCCCGCCACGGCAUAUAGUGUCAUCUUAUUUUGUUUUGGCAAAUUGUACACAUAAAAUACAACAUAGGGUGGAGAAAACCACAGCUAUAAAGGAGCACGUACGAGUGUGAGUCUCUCCAAAGCUAUAGGGGAAGAUCGAAGAACUCAAAUCGAAGACGCACGUACGCGUCGUCUUAGAAAAUUCAGAACCAGAAAACAUAGUAUCAGCUCAAGAACAGAAAGAACUUGAGCAAUGGGGAGAAGCCCUUGUUGUGCCAAGGAGGGCUUGAACAAAGGUGCGUGGACUGCUCUCGAAGAUAGAGUUCUGUCUGAAUACAUCAAAGUCCAUGGUGAAGGAGGAUGGAGAAAUCUCCCUAAGAAAGCAGGUACUUGAUACAUCAAGCAGAAAAUUAGAGACUUGAGCUAGAUUUUUUUUUUCGGGUUUAAUUUUCUGAGUUGAUUAUAUGCAUGCAUGUCUCUAAUUAGUUUCAUUUGCAAUGUUAUUAUUGAAGGACUGAAACGAUGUGGGAAGAGCUGCAGGCUUAGGUGGUUGAACUAUCUAAGACCAGACAUCAAGAGAGGCAACAUCUCACCUGAUGAAGAAGAGCUCAUCGUCAGGCUUCACAAGCUCCUGGGCAACAGGUAAUUAAUCAAUUACUUGUAUCACUGAUUCUAACAAGCAAAAUCUGGGUUACUAUUAACUAAUUUGCAUAAGCAAACUAAUUUUCUCAUAUAAACUGGGUUAUUGUGAUCAGAUGGUCUCUAAUAGCGGGGAGGCUACCAGGACGAACAGACAAUGAAAUCAAAAACUACUGGAAUACCAAUCUGAGCAAACGAGUUCCAGACCAAGAAGCUCAUUCAUCAUCACCCUCAUCAGCUGGUCAUGGUGAACCAAGAUCCAAUAAGGCCAAGAAUGUUAUGUCCCAUAAUGUGGUAAGAACCAAAGCUGCCAAGUGCACCAAAGUAUUCAUCAACCCACAGUUACCACGCAAAGGGUUGCUCCUUGCUGAUGAUCACAAGCCUGAGGAUUAUCAUCGUCAACAAGCAGUAGUAGAUCAUCAGCCUGAUGGGAAUGGGUUGUCGUCUCCAUCUUUGUUGGAAAACUCUUCUUCAUCAGAUUUCCUGAUGGAUUUCGACAUGAAUUCCGAGCUUUGCUUGGCCAAUCUCCUCGGUUUGGAAUUUUCAAGCGGCGGUGAUAACUUGUUCUCUGAAGAAAUGCAGCUGCAUCAGCAAUAUUGGAGUGAUAAUGUUGGUAGUGGUGAGGAUUGUGUUGCUGAUGAUCAAUUUCAACCAACUACGAUCCUCAAUUUCCAGUCAUUGAAUUCUUUUCUAAAUGCUGAUGCUAACCAAGGAGACUGGCUCGAACUUGCAGAGACUAGUUGAUCAAUAAUUCUCUUAUGACAAAUAGUAACACAAUAGUAUAGCCAGCAGCUAGCUAGAUUAAUUUUCUAUUAUAUAUCCCACCAAUAAUCAUAUAUAUGCAAUCGUGAUCUAUGUAAUAUUGAUUUCAUAUCAAUGAGUUACACUUAUUCUUCCGGGGAUAAAUAAUUAUUUGAUGUUGUAUUAUUAUUCAUCAUGGAAUUAGUAAUAUUAUUUCUCUCAAAUGGUGUAUAUAAUUGGAACAAGAAUCUUGUACGUUGAGCUAUAUUUACACUGACACGACCCACCCCGAAUUUCACCCUGAAACCCAGAGUAAGUCGUGCGGGGACCACCUCCAAGGAAAAUUUACUGAAAAGAUUAAGCAAAUCUCCCUUGCAGAUGGACAACCCUAAGUCGAAAAUUUCAUAUUACACUCUUAAUUUAACGCUUCUGAAUAUCACAUAAUAUACAAAAAUUCUAAAGUAUUCAGAGCUACUAAACACAAGCGGAAGCAAGAAAACACGAGUAGGUUGAACAGGUAACCUACUGAUGAAAACUGGCCGAAAAGCGGGUGACUAUGCCUCGUCUCCUACUAGAUCCAACCCGAAUUCUGUAGACUGGGCAAUUUAAAACGAAGGGCCCAGGGGAAAACAUUUAAUAACGUUAGAGUGAGUGGACAAAAAAUAAAUUAAUAAUUAAAAUAUUUAUGUUUCCCCAAAUUAAUUUCUAAGGAAAAAUCGAAUGCAUGCCGCAAGCGAUAAAACCUUUAUCCCAUAAAAUAUCGAGCCUCUCAGACUCUAUAAUAUAUGUAUGUAUUUACACUUGUCCAUACUCCCUAUAUAAAUUCAUGGGUUUAUAUAGGGCUACUACGCUCGCGUCCAACGCUCACGUCACGCCUUAAUGCGGUGCUACACUACGCCAUCAAGGUGGACAGACGGGUGUAUAAAAUAUGUGCCCAUACCCCCCUAUAUGAAUUAAACACUCAUAUAGGGCUACUACGCUUACGUNN